rnacentral:lncRNA from 1 species
UGUAAGUUAAGCUCUUGUGCCUCGGAUACAAUGGUCCCAAGACCAUGGAAUCAUUACCUCUUGAGUCUCGAGUCAAUGAUUCAGUGGUACUUGCUGAGCAAGUAACUGAGUUCGUUAUAUACUUUUCCCAUAUCGCCAAUUCAGUAUAUCGCAGAUCACCUGUCAUCAAACAAGCAAGCAACCGAGUCUCUCUCUCUCUCUCUCUCUCUCUCUUUUCUUGCAUAUUACAAAAGGCUCCUCUGUUUUUCUUGCAUAUUACUGACUGCUUGUUAUUCAUCAUGACACGUUUACAAUACUUUACAUCUACAUAUCCUUUGUGGAUUUACAAAUUGGAGUCUCUGUAUUCCCCUUCAAUAUGUAAGAAAGUGUAUGUACUGCUAGCUCCGUGAAGGCGUGAAAUACAAUGUAUAUGGUUAUGGAGUUCUUCUUUUACAAAUCCUAAGUGGCAAAAGAUCUUCAUGCUAUUAUAUACGGCCCCAACAAAAGUUUGAACCUUUUAGCAUGUGUAACUUUAAUUUAGGUUCCCUUUUCUUCGAUCCUGAAUCAGCACUUAAUUACACAACUGGUGCCACUAUAGCUGCAUACACUGUCAUGUCACAUGUAUGAUUGAAGAAGAUAUUGAAAGUAUUUUUCAUUCUCCAAUUAACUAAGAAUGCUAAUCAGCCAGUCAUCUUCAAGCUAUGCCGAGGAGAUUUCCCCGAUUGCUUUGAUAAUACAAAACAGAGAUGGUGGCAGUGAACAAAUUAAGCCGAUGCUUACUGGAACCUACCCUUGGGAGGGUCGGGGACAAUCAGACAACUUGCUUGUAUGUCUCAUCAGCGUUCUUUCAUUUAACAAUUAAUAGAGAAUAAUUGUACUGCAGAUUUUAAUUUAGCAUCUCACGAGUCAGUGUGUAGGUCAUAAUUAGCUCACUUUUACCCCCAAGGCCCUUUCGAUUUUUGAACAGGUGAGUUUGAUUAUUUCUAUGACUGCAUAAUUUCCAUUUUCCUGAGAUUCCAAUCCAUGAAGCAAGUGUUUCAACAAAGAAAAAGGCGCAAAAUUCUUAGAAACUACUGAAUAAUCAACAAAGAAAAAUUGCUUUGACUACAUCUUUCACACUACGUGGGCUGUGACCAAUUAUGGUAUGUGGGCAAGACAUACAAAAGCUUUUCACACUACGUGGCAAAGACCAAAGAGAAUUCUCUCUCGUCCCCAAUCAGCAGAAAGCUGGCAGCCCAUUGUCGAUUUAAGCCACAUAAAUUCAAUGAAGAGUCAAACAUCUCAAUUUUAGCUGAAAAGGGGUAACAUUUCAAUUCAAGUCAAUACAUUAUGUAAGAUCAAAAGAAGCAGAUGUCUCCGAGAAAACGAAUGAGUUGUUGUAUUUAAUUGUGUUGCCACGGGCUGCAAACACAGUCAUCCGUAUGAACAUGGACCAUGUGGUCGUUACGCACUGCCUGGUUCAGGCGAUCCGCAAUACUUCAGUGUUCUUUUUCUGGUCCGGAGUUGCUCCCGUCCGCUUGACCCUUAGAUUCAGUGGACCGUGAUGGUCCCACGACCAUCAUUACCUCCUAACUCAAUGACUCCAUCUUCGCUCGAGUCGAUUGGGUUCCAUUUAGAAUUGAGUAGUCCUAUUCACACAUUAAAUUAUUACUAUACUGAAUCUUGGAUUAUAUUUUAAACACCUUUUAAAAUUAAUUUCUACACUAAGCAUCUUUCUACUUAUUUUUAAAAAUCGUUUGCUUAGAUAUAAAAAAAAAUGAUAUUGCGAAUUGCCAACUAAUUCAAUUGCUUAAAUUUAUUGAUUAUUGGGUGAGAAUAAUAUAGGUGUAGAGUUUGAACUCUACUCUACUCAUAUGAAUAGGAUAGGAAAAGAAUUGAGUUAACGCCAUUAGCCAUAACUGAAAAUAUGGAAUAUGGAAUAUUCUCUCUUAACCCCCGUGCUCUUAUCUAAACACCAUGUCUUUUCUACUUUUUCUUGAGAUGAAGAAGUCAAAUUGGAAUUACUUGCCAAAGCUGUCAAAGCACGGGUAAAGCUACAGUGAAAGACUUGCGCAGGAAGCUGUUAAGCCCUAUAAAAAUAAGUCACUCGCUCCCCACUUCACUCACUUGUCACCGAAUCAAUCAAAGAAUAGAAAAAGCAACUCCUUGAAGAAAGUUCUUCUUCUCUCUCCCUCUCUGUCUUAUCUUGCUCUGUUUCUCCUCUGUUUUUUUCCUCCUCUUUUCAUUAAAAUUUAAGAAAACAUACCCAUUUCAAGCAAAUGGAACACGAAGCAUUUAAGCUCACCAAGAAGCAAAACCGCCUGCCGCCGGCGAGAGGCCAAGUUCUGAAGAAAAUAUUGAACGAUUGGUUCGGAUCAGCUGGAGGAAAGAGAAGGGGAAAUGGACUUGUUAGUAGGGAUGGCAAAAAUCUCCGCUGGAUUCCAACCCGUGGGGGUCCGGCUCAUUCCGGCCCGGUUCUCGCCCUCGAAACGCUUCAAAAAAUUUUGGGUCUGAUUUUGGGGAAAAACUUGAAGCCCAUAGAAUAAUUCAGAUGGUUUCGGGGCGGGGAUCAUUUUUGAGUAAUCCAUAAAUCUGAAACUCCUAGUGGUAGGCUUAGUAGCUCAAGCGCAUCGAACCCCGCUGAAAGUCCUAAUGGCUACAAUUCAAAUGUUGCCUCUUAGUCUUCAGUCUUGAAUCUUGAUUAGGCUAUCAACUUUAACUGGGGGCUGAUCGUGGCUCAAUUUUUCUUUCUCCUUUUUUCUUUUUUGACAUUUUGUUCUUAGACUUUCUUUUUUUUUCCUUUGGCUUGUCAUUUCUUGUAAUUGAAGAUGAUUAUGGAAGGAUGGGAUUGAUGGUUAAAUAUAGGGAUUUUGGGGGAUGGAUACCCAUGUUCAGGCCUGUGCAUUAUUACUGUCUUUGUUUUUGGUUUUGUCUGUAAUGGAUAUAAUUUCUAAUUUUUCAUAGAUUUUGGCAAUUAAGCAAUUACCGUUAUUACUUUUCUUUUUCUUGCUUCUGGCUCUUCAUGCUCUGUCAGAAAUAUGGUGUGUUUUUACUUUUUAGAUUUGGAUCAAAUGGUUGUGGAAUCGAACGAUCACGCGUGGCGCCGGAGUCCGGAUUUUGGUCGAUGGGGACCUUGAUGGAAAAAUCAUUAACUAUAGUAGGUUAUAAUAUAAAACUUAUAAAAUUGGGAGACCAACAGUACAGUAGGGGUCACAAUGGAGGAUCUAUAAAACAAAGUUAUAAAAAUUAAAUACAAAUACGAGGUUCCAAAUGCAAAAUGUACAUAAAAUUGGUAAAGUUUCUUCAAUGCAGUUCUCGGAUUUUGGUACAUUUUCAAUGUUUGUGAUUUUGAUAAAGAUCAUGACUUAUUUAUCCUUAUUAAAUUUUUUUUUUUCAAUAGAAUCCUUAUUAAAUUUUUAAUUUAUGAUCAAUGGUGAUUAAUUUUGUCUUCCUUUUUAUGGGAUUGUGGUAACUUGGAUGACUAAAAGAAACAAAACAAUCCAAGCUACUGCCCAAGGAUCUGAUCAAAGAUCAAUCAAGAUGCAAACUAGAGUGUAUCUGAAUAAGAACAACGAAUUGACUUGAGCAAUCUAACAAGAAACUCAAUAAAUAAGCAAGAUUCCAACGAAAGCUAAAACAGAUCAAAGGAAAAACAGAGACACAAGCGACUACAUGGUCCAGCCACUUCUCAGUGACCUAUCUGUUGAUGCCAAAAUCCGGAUGAGUUUGUCAAAUCUCAGAUCCAUACAUCAUCAUUAAAUUUGUUUGGUGAGAAGCUGAUGAUUAGUUAGCACCAUGAGCAGACGAUCCAUGAGCAGAUAACCCAUGAGCAGACGAUCCAUGAGCAGACGAUCUAUGAGCAGACGAUCCAUGAGCAGAUAACCUAUGAGCAGACGAUCUGUGAGCCUGUGAACACAACCAAUAGUCAGGAGGUGCCGGAAGUUUUUCCGGCGAGAACCCUCCGACGCUCAAGUCAGUGAUUCGGGUCUUACUUGAAAAAACCCAUACCACAAUUCAUGUGGCUUAAUUAUGAUUGCUUGAAAUAAAACUCUUUUAAGUAAAUUUAAAGGAAAAGAAUUUGAAAUAAUCAAUCUUAAAGAAAUCACAGGCGAGAGAGAAAUUUCUCAGUGGUAGAGAGAGAAAAAUGUCCAAUGGGUUCAGUUGCUUAGAGAGAGAGAGCUCCAAGCCCCCUUUCCUUUCCUUUUCUAGGGUUUUUAUAGAAAACUAUAGCGGUUUUCAUCCACUAAGAAUAUGGUCCCUAAUAUUUCGGAGAAAAUGUUUUGACUGAAUCGUGCUUUCUGGUAACUUCCUAGUCGAGGUGACCAAUAACAUCCCGGUCGAGGUGAUGUGCUCGAGGUCACCACAUAUUAUUCUGGUCGAGGUGAUGUGCUCGAGGUCACCACAUAUUAUUCUGGUCGAGGUGAUCUGCUCGAGGUCACCACAUAUUAUUCUGGUCGAGGUGAUCUACUCGAGGUCACCACAUAUUAUUCUGGUCGAGGUGACCAACAAUAUCCUGAUCAGAGGUGAUCUGCUCGAGGUCACCACAUAUUAUUCUGGUCGAGGUGAUCUGCUCGAGGUCACCACAUAUUAUUCUGGUCGAGGUGAUCUGCUCGAGGUCACCACAUAUUAUUCUGGUCGAGGUGAUCUGCUCGAGGUCACCACAUAUUAUUCUGGUCGAGGUGACCAAUAAUAUCCUGGUCAAAGUGAUCUGCUCGAGGUGACCAAUAACAUCCUAGUCGAGGUGAUCUGCUCAACUAUUUGCUCACUUUUACUCUGGAGGAGAGCGCGAUAAUGUAUGAGCAAACACCUUUAUCUUGGUCACCCUAUUUCAUUCCCUAAACACUAUCUCUAUGGGGAAGAAAUCGAUCAGCCCCGUUGAUUAUUUCAAUGGCGAUUACAAGAAAUUGUAAAACUGUUUACAGAGAAUUGAAUACCGGUUUCUCUCUCCACAAUCACUCUCCAAAAUGCCUUUCCAGAUUGCCUAGAAAGCUGCCACGUACUUCAACAGUUAUGACAACCUUUGCUUAAGCUGCCCACCAGACUCGCUUAAUGAACCACCAGAACGCGAAAAUGCUACGCCGUUUUGAUGUUAUGGAAUCAAUUAAAAGGUCACAUGAGAAGCACAUGACUAACUUAAAACAUCAAUCAGGCUGAUACAUUGUCGUUUCACCAUUCCGGUUUUGAUUCGCAUCGAUCUCGACAAUAAUGGACUUGGAAUACAAAGUUUCAAACUUUGAGACGAUCGCCACUUUGUGCUUUUUAUUUGAAAGCAUGAGCAAAUAAACUAAGUUGUCGGUUUCGAAUUUUCUAUCCCAAAGGCGAACUAAUUGGCAAGUGUAGCUUAUUGGGUGGGGUGGCAAAACGAAUAAUCGAAUCGAAAUAUUCGGAUUUAAUUCAUUUAUUAAAUGAAUAUUCAAUUUGAUUUGUUUAAUUCGUUUAAUAGAAUUAAUAAACGAAUCCAAUCCAAUCCAAUCUAAAUUCGUUUAUUAUUCAUUUAUCAUAAUAAUAAACUAACACAUAAUGAUCGAAUUGAAUAUGAAUUCGUUUACAAAAAUUAAAUAAAUAAUACAAACCAUAAAAGUUUUCAUCUCAUCUAUAUAUUGUCUUAUUAUUAUUAUUUAUAAUUACUAGAUUAACCUUCAAAUUUUAAAAUUUUUUCAUAAAUAUUUAAAAAUAAAUAAGUAAUUUAUUAAACGAAUAGAUUGUAUUCGAUUCGUUUAUAACCCAUUUAUUUAACGAAUUCUAAACGAAUAAACAAAUUAGUGUCUUUAAAUCCAAAUCGAAUCGAAUUCACCCAUUUAUUAAAUGAAUCAAUAUUUUAAAACUCAAACUUAUUUAAUUCGCUUCAAAUCGAAUCGAAUAAAUGAAUCUUGACCCAAAUUGCCGUCCCUAUACUAUUGGGUUACCAUAUUCUUCGAAAAUGAGUCUUCAAUUCUAUUUUGGAUUCGAUGUCCAAUUAGUGUUUAUGUCAAAAAAAAGCACAAAGUAAUAAUUGAAGAAGGUAACUAAAGAUGAAAGAUUAGAAGGUCAAGUGUCCAUGACAACGUAGCAAAACAUUUUAAUUAUUUAUAUUUUAAUAAAUAGUGUAGAACCUUUGAAUCUGUAUUACGUGAUUGUGUCGUAUGCAUCAACAAGUCAUCUUUCUAGAAGACAAGUUCUUAUUUUAAUUUUUUUUAAAAUUUUUUUCAUUGGUUAGUCAAUGGAUAUACUCGUUCUACACAUGUUAUUAUGUUGUUCUUUUUGAAAUUAGUAAAAUACAUUAAAAAUGGCUUAAAAGAAUUGUCAAUACUCAACAAUACAUCACCACGAUUAUACACGAACUACAAGAUUAUACGCGAUCAAAUACAUUAUUUAAGACAAAACAUAAGACUCGAGCCUUAAUUACAAGAUGUUUGAUAACAAGGAUACAUAGUAGAGUCUUUUCAUAUUUAUUAGAACUAAAAGAAGAAUAAACAGCCCCAUUUAUUAAAGUACAAUGAGAUGGAUAAAGAUCCUCUCUUGAUCUGAGUUCUCAUGAACUUUUAAUAAUUUUGUGUCAUGUGUAUUUAAGUAAUAGUGUAUGAGUAUAAUUUUAACUUAUUCAUUUUCUUUUUUUAUUAACUAUCAAUUAUCAUGUGUAUUUUUGCUCAGGAGCAUAUCAGAUCAUGAGAGAAUGAGGAGAUGAGAUCAUGAGAGAAUUCUAAUACACAAUGAGUUAGAUGAAAAAUUUUAUACCAAUGAAUUAGUGAAUCCAUGUCAACUAUUGUAGGUGGAGAUCACAUUCCAAUAAGAAAUAAAAUAUUGUUGUUAUCGCCGUUAAAUUAUACAUUAAUUUAUCGCCUUUUAUUGUCAUCGAUAAUAAUUAAAAAAAUGCAAUGGGCUGGUCACUUUAACGGAACUAGUUCGAAUUUCAGCUGCAAAAAUAUUUAUUUAUUUAUUUUAAUUUAGGCCUUACUUCUAAUUAGUGCAUAUUUCUAACUUUUUUAGUGUGUGCGAUUAUAUGUAUAUAAAUUUUUAGCCGACUAUAAAUUACCAGAUAUAUGCAACCGGUAGCAAUUUAAGUAAAAACAAUAAUUUGAUAAUAACUUUAUACUUUUCUCGGACACACUCAUAAUUUCGAAUUUUCAAUUUUCUUUGUAAGUUGAGCUCUUGUGCCUCGGAUACAAUGGUCCCAAGACCAUGGAAUCAUUACCUCUUGAGUCUCGAGUGAUUCCGUGUUUCUUGCUGAGUAGGUAACUGAGCUCGAUAUAUACCCUUCACACCUCGCCAAUUCAGUAUAUCGCAUAUCUUAUCAUCAAACAAGCAGGCAACCGAGUCUCUCUCUCUCUCAUUUCUUGCAUAUUACAAGAGGCUCCUCUGUUUUUCUUGUUCAAUUCCUCUGUUUCUCCUCUGUUUUUCAUCAAACAUGUCUCGAUUGAAAUUGAAGUAUACCCAUUUCAAGAAAAUGGAAUACGAAGCAUAUAAGCUCAUGAAGAAGCAAAAUCUUCGCCUGCCACCAAAAAGAGGCCAAGUUUUGAAGAAGAUAUUGAAGGAAUUGUUCGGAUCAGCUGGAGGAAAGAGAAGGAGAAAUGGAGUGGGUCGUGGUGGGCUUAGCUAAAGCUCAUCAACCCCAGCUGAAACUCCUAGUGGCUACAGUUCAGAUGCGGCCUCUGAGUCAAGCUCUCAACUUUAAUUAGCGUCUAAUCACGGCUGAUUUUUGUUUUUUGUUUUUUUAAUUCAUUUUCUUUUCAUUGCUUGUGUCUGAUGACUGAUGGAAGGAAGAGAUGGGUACCCUUGUAUAGACAUGUAUAUUAUUAAUAAUCUUUUUUUUAUUUUAUUUUUUGUAAUAAUGUUUUAUACUGAGUAAAACUUCGAUUUUGUAAAGCCCUGCCUCUUCUCUGUCUGAAAAUCUGGGAAGCAAAUUCGUGUUUGAAAAAAAAAAAAUUGAGGAGAUGAGUACUGAGUUGAUUCAUUGAAUGAUAUCAUGGUUCUUACUUCUGAGAUUAUGAUACAUUUCCAUAUUUUGUGAUUCUGAUGAUGAUCAUGAUUGUAUAUUCAUUUUCUUGAUCGACGGCGAUUAUGCAUCUCCUCUGUCUUCCAUUUUUCGGCGACUCCUACACACAGUAACUUCGCUGGGCCAGUGGGUUUGAUGUUGAUGUUCAAACUUUGAAUGGCUCGUCGCUUUCUAAAACAAUCUUUUUCACUUGUCAGUUUGACGGCUUCUACCCUGAUCGUGAAAAAACAAUUGGUAACUUGAUGCAUUAUGUAAUCAGGGGCUGACCUCCCUCUGGGACUUUGAAAAAAAAAAUGCAUAAAUAUGUAAUUUUAGUUUUUAAAAUAUAAUUUUUUGUAAUCUCAUUCUGAUAAGAUUAAUAUUUUAUCGGUUUAAAAUUUUUCAACUUCAACUUCUAAAAUUUUGUUUUUAAAAGUUUUGGCCCCUCUAAAAUUUUAGUGCUAGCUUCGUCCCGUGACGUAAUUUUAUAACCUUUUUUUUGUAAAUAGUAUCCUAGUUGUUAACCCGACAACCCUGCAUAAUAUGGACCUGUCUUCGUCCUGUACCUUACAGCUACUCUUGCACAAUAAACUGAAAAGUGAGCCCAAGUGGGAUCUACGGCCAUUUUGUGAGAGUGUUGUAAGGUACAGAUUCUGUACCGUAGCAUUCUCCUUAGAUCACAUACACAUAUAUAGUCUCAUUAUAGCAACCGCAGAAAAGCUAACUCCAUGUAAAUUUCCUUCUCCAACAAGCAAAAGUAGUUCAAACUCAAUUCUUACACGUUACAAGCUGUGAGGCUAUAUGUCUAGCUAGAACCUUCUAAUCGUAACAUAAUUUGAUCGAAGGUUAGGUAAUUUUCGCAGUUUCUGAUAAUAUUAAAAAUUGUAAGUCAACGUGAAGCACUGGAAUUUAUAAUUGGCUUGCCAUCGUUAUCCAAUCUCUCUAAUUUUUUUUCCACGUGCUCUUAAGACUUCUUCACUCCUAGAGAUUUUCCUUCGCCUCCAAGAAACUUUCAAAAUGAUGACAAUUUAAGCCACCAUUAAUUCUCUCUCUAGAAUGAUAGUGUGAUACGUUUAGUUUGAGCCUCAUUUUGUGCAAACUGUUGCAACGUUAGUUUUUUUUUUUUGUUUUUUUUAGACUGAUUAAUCAUCAGAUUACUGCAUUACACAGAUAUUUACAACAACUGCUUAUUGUAGUAGAGGUAUUACACUGAUAUUUACAAUCAGAUAUACAUGAUUGGGACUUACAUUAUAUUUACAACAACUGCUUAUUGUAGCAGAGGUAUUACACUUAUAUUUACAAUCAGAUAUACAUGAUUAGGACUUACAUUAUUACAAUGAAUUCUAUGAAGUACAUGCCCAAUACAAAUAACCUCUCACAGGAGAGGAUGUUAAUACUCCACUUGCAUUUCGCAAGGGAGAAUGAUAUAAAGAACAUUUAGCCCCCACAAUGCUUUUGUGGGGGAUAGAACCACUGCCCUCACAAUGCUUGUGAGGGCAGCAGCCCACCACUUCGGCCAAGGCCGAAGUGGCGUUGCAACGUUAGUUUGUUUGUGCCUUGUAGCAUCAAAAUCAGAUCUAUUUUAGUUUGACACUAUAUACACACACAUACAAACCGGAGGAAAAAUCAAUAUGUGAGAAAGUGGAAACAUAAAAUUUACAUAGAAAGGUGUUAUCUUUUAAUUAAAGUCCUUAUUUUACAUCAUUUCAAUAACAAUAAUGAUAAUUUACGAAAUUGAGAUAUAAAGAAAAUUUAAUAAUAAUAAUAAUAUGAUCGAAGUUCUUCCAUAUAUGCACUUACUAUAAUUAGUCAUUGAAUAUUUUCAUUUCCUAUGAAUGAUAAAUAUUAUAUUAGUUGCACAUUAAUUAAGAUAUAAAUUUUAUAUUUCAACUUUAUACGUAUACCAUUACUCUCUUAAAAAUAUAGUGUGCUUACCUCACUUACAGUUUAGUUCCAUCUCUAACCUCAUUUUCCUCAAAUAUCCCUUGCUCAUCCUGUCUACUCUUUAUAACGGCCUACCUAGGUUUUAUCAACAUCAACGAACCAUAAAGAACACUCAUAAUCUAAUCUUUGCACCAGACAACUUACAAAACAAAAUUUAUUGGAUUUAAUAUGACUCAACCAAGAUUUAGUUAAAACACACGCGUUUAUGGAUUGAAUGAAGAAUAGUAGGAGAUACAUUGUUUGUAUUGUUAGUAAGAGUAUAUUUUUUGAGCUACCUUUAGUAAUUUUUAGAUCAUAUUAUGCAUGUAGAGUUGUAAGAAUUCUAAAUUGUAAUACAUUGUAGAUUUGCAACCAGUGAGAAGAAAAUUAUUAUGUUUCAUUAUUAUAUAAUAAUUUGGUUUUGCUUUCAUAAUCUUUGAAAAUAUUUAAUGCCACGGCCAUUUUAAUUAUGCAUGUCACUUAACAUCCAUCGAAUAUACCUUGAGAGAAAAAAAUAUAAUUUAAAUAUCCUUUAGAGAGAUAAUUAAGCCACUAGGCUUUAAUAUAGUAGUUAGAACCCAAACCUCAUAAUUAGGAGAUCAUGGGUUCGAGCCCCACAUUGCAUUAUGGUGGUUUAAUUUACUUCCUUAAUUUGAGUGAAGAUAAUAUUCUCCCUUUCGAAUAUUAGAGGGUAAAAAUUUGGACAGUACAGUAGACGUCCUUCGAAUAUUAGAGAGUAUAAAAAUCUAACUAGUCUUGUUAAUAAUUUGAUUUAUAAAUAUAAGUUAUAAUCUAAUGUAAUAUGAGUUGUACUCUUGAACAAUAAUCUCAUAUAUAUAUAUAAGAAUUAAUCACCAAUAACGAAGAGAACUACUGAUUCCAAAGUAUAAUCCUAACCCAUUCAAAUUAACUAAUUUGAUAUACUUUAGGAUCAAUGUUUUAUUAAAAUUCAAAAGUUAAAAGCGUGUCAAUACAGACAAUGUAUGUCCUGCUAUUCUUUGUUCAAUCCAUACAUAAACAUGUGUGUUUAAACUAAAUGUUGAUUAAAUCAUAUUAAACCCAAUAUUUUUUUUUUGUUUUGUAAGUUGUGUGGUGCAAAGACUAAAUUAUGAGUGUUCUUUAUGGUUCUCUAAUAAAACCUAGGUACGCAGUUAUAAGGAGUAGACAGGGUGAGCAAGGGACAUUUGGAUGUGGAGUCAAACUGUAAGUGAGAUAAGUGCACCACAUUUUUUAGAGAUAAAUAGUACUUAUAAAGUUGAAACAUAAAAUUUGUAUCUUAAUUAAUGUUGCCACCGAUAUAAUAUUCAUCAUUCAAAUGAGAAAUGAAAAUAUUCAAUGACUAAUUAUCAUAAGAGCAUAUAAAAUAACAUCAUAUUAUUUGGAUACAAACUUUAUAUCUCAACUUUAUAAAUUUAUCAUCAUUGUUAUUAAAACAAUAGCCAUGGCUACCUUGAAGUUGCUCUAAACUAGAUUAAGAAUCAUAACCACAUACGCAAAGUGAUAAAUAGUAAAAAAAUACAUUAUAAUCUUAAUCGUGUGAUUAUAAAAAAAGUGCUCUACCGUAGAUACAUAAUAAGGACUUUAAUUAAAAUAUAACAUCUUUUUAUGUAAAUUUUAUGUUUUCAGCUUUCUCAAAUAUUCAUCUUUCCUCCAAUAUAUAUAUAUAUAUAAUUGUCAAACUAAAAUAGAUCUGAUUUUGAUACCACAGGACACGAACAAACUAACGUUGCAACAGUUUGCACAAAAUCAGACUCGAACUGUAUAUCACUAUCAUAGCAGAGAAAGAAUUAAUAGUAGCUUAAUUUGUCAUCAUUUUAAAAGUUUAUUGGGCGGCGAAGGAAAAUCUCUAGGAGGAGUGAAGAAAUCUUAAGCCGGUAUGACCAGCAUGCGGCAAAAUUAGAGAGAUUGGAUAAUGAUGGUGAGCCAACUAUAAAUAUCAGUCCCUCCCGUUGAGUUUCAACUUUUAAUAUUUUCAGAAUCCUCGAAAGUUACCUAACCUUCAAUGCCUGCACUCAGUCGUUACAUGGGCUUAACCUUAAUUUAUUGUCGCAAAGACGAAUUUAUAUGUGUGCGCGCGCGCGUGAUUCCACAGUUUAUAUUUAUAAAUAAGUAAUAAUUUAGACACUAUUAUGUAGUGUUGCCGAGUUAACAAUUCAGAUACUACUUACCCCAAAAAAAAUAUAUAUAUAUAGAAUUGCGUCCACUAAGGAGCGAUCACUAAAAUUUUAGACGGCUAAACUUUAUAAAAAUAAUUUUUUUAGAAGUUAAAAAAAUUAAACUUAUAAAAUAAUAAAUUUAUCGGAAUGAAAUUAUGAAAAAUAAUAUUUUAAAAACUAAAAUUAUAAAUAUCUUAUGCGUAUUUAUGUAAUAUUAUAAAGUCUGAAAGGGAGAUCAGCCCACGAUUAAUUACAUCAAGUAUACAAUUACCAAAUUUUUACGCCAUCGGAGUAGAAGCCGUCAAACUGGCUAAGUUAAAAAGGUUGUUUUUAAAAAGCGACCAGCCAUUCAAAGUUUGAACAUCCACAUCAAACCCACUAACCCAGCGAAGUUAUUAUGUGUAGGAGUCGCCGAAAAAUGGAAGACAGAGGAGAUGCACAAUCACCGUUGAUCAAGAAAAUGAAUAAACAGUCAUGAUCAUCAUCAGAAUCACAAAACAUGGAAAAUGUAUCAUAAUCUGAGAAGUAAGAACCAAGAUAUCAUUCAAUGAAUCAAUUCCGUACUCAUCUCCUCAAAUUUUAUUUUAUUUAAAAAAAAAACACGAAAUUGCUUCCAAGAUUUUCAGACACAGAAUAUGUUAGAGCUUUAGAAAACCAAAGUUUUACUCGGUAUAAACAUUAUUACAAAAAUAAAAAUUAAAAAAUUUAUUAGUAAUAGACAUGUCUAAACAAGGGCACCCAUCUCUAAUUAUCAUUACAUAUCUCAACUUCGUAAAUUAUCAUUAUUGUUAUUGAAAUAAUGUAAAAUAAGGAAUUUAAUUAAAAGAUAACAUCUUAAUUUCUAUGUAAAUUUUAUGUUUCCACUUUCUCACAUAUUGAUCUAUACAGGGCACAAACUAACUAAUGUUGGAUAAUAAUGGUUAGCCAAUUAUAAAUUUCAGUCCCUCAAGUUGACUCACAAUUUUUAAUAUUAUCAGAAUCAGCGAAAAUGACAUAUCGCCUCACAGCUUGUAACGUGUAAGAAUUGAAUUUGAACUAUUUUUGCUUAUUGGAGAAGAAAAUUUACAUGGAGUUGGCUUUUCUGUGGUUGCUAUAAUAAUGCGUGUGUGUGUGUAAUCUAGAUACCUAUUAUACAGUGUUGUUGGCUUAACGACUAUGAUGCUAUUUAUAAAAAAAAAUUAAAUUAAAUUAAAUUACGUCACGGGAUGGAGUUAGGACUAAAAUUUUGGAGGGCCCAAAACUUUUUAAAAACUUUUAAAAAACAAAAUUUUGGUAGUUGAAGUUGAAAAAUUUUAAACUGAUAAAAUGUUAAUUUUAUCGGAACGAAAUUAUGAAAAAUUAUAUUUUAAAAAUUAAAAUUAUUAAUAUCUUAUACAUAUUUAUGUAAUUUUUUAUUAUUUUUAGAAAAUGAGACUGUUCCCACAAUAAGCACUGAACGGUGCGUUUAGGGUGUGGUAUAAAAUGACCCAUCUCACGUGACACACACAUACCCGCCACAACACACGCGCAAUAAAUCUCACGCGACACACAUCGUUUCUCCAUUUGCUUUCUCUACUCUCAUAGAAAUCUCACCGUUUCUCCAUCUGCUCAUCCUCUCGCUUUCUCUUGCCGUGUGCCUCUCUUUGUUCCCCGUCCUCUCGCUUUCUCUCGCAAUAGGUCUCUCGCCGUGGGUUUCUCCAUCUGCUCUCUCUCUCUCUUCUCUGUCCUCUCUAUUCUCUUGCCGUCGAUUCCCCCUCCGUUCUCACUGUCGAUUGCAUCUCUCAGCUUGCUUUAGCUUUACUCUCUCAACUUCAGUGGUCAUUAGCUGACGUAGUCGAUUUCCGUGAGUUGAUUAUGAAUUUUUGAAAAUCCAACUGAUAUUGUGAGCAAAUGAGACAGUUUUAAUUGCACUUGGAUUGAUGUGCAAAUUAGUUUAGAUAGGUUUGAUUUGUAAUUGCAUUUUCGAUAGUCUUAGGAGAUGGCCUUGUGCCGGAGAUGGCACCAUGAUCACUAUAACUGGAGCUUGUUUUAUGCCAUUAUAGUUUUGGUAAAAUACCAAUCCAGAUGAAAUUGUUGCUGUAUUUUGUCAUAAUCCAAAUCCUAAAUGAUAUAGCAGCUGCUGCUACGAGCUUCCGUUAUUUGAUAAAUUUAUGGGAUUGCCCUUGAUGACAUUAAAAACCUAACAACUGAUUCUAUAAUCUGAGAAUGAAACAUAUUUGCAGCGUGUUCUAUAAUGUGCAAGGCUUAUUCUGAUGAUAAUCUUAAAAGGAAACUUAUUUGAAUAGAACAUGUUGUGAAUAUGAACAAGCAAAAUGGCUUGGGAGAAUUAGCUGCUGAGAUUUCUAGCUUGAGUGAGGAGUGGAUUUGGUGUGAAUGAGAGUGAGAGUGAUGGAGAAUGCGUGUGUGAGAUCUAAUGCGUGUGUGAGAUUUAAUGCGUGUGUGAGAUCUAAUGCGCGUGUAUUGUGUUUGUGUGUUCAAAUAGUAGCCUUUUAUAUUGCACACAAAACGCACCGUUCGGUGCUUAUUGGGGGCUGAAUAUGGGUAAUUUUUAAAAAGAAUUAUUAGCUAUUUUACACUUUUUAAAUUAUUGAUAUUUUCUUAAAGUUCCUAUAAAAAAGUUAAAAUUAAAAAAUUAAAAAAUCCUCUUUAAAUUAUUGAUAUUUCCUUAAAAUUCCUACAAGAAAGAUAAAAUUAAAAAUUUAAAAAUGAAAUAGUCAUAAUCUUUACCUAUGAUAUUGUAAAUUUUUAGAAUUGACAAGGAUAAAAUUGUCAAAAAAUAGGGUUUGUGCUUUUUGCACCAAUAAUUUUGGUUUUUUUUUAGUUAUUUUCGUUUACAAACUAUUGUUAAGGGUAAUAUUGUCUUUGCAUGGUUAACUAACGGUCAAUGUUAAACUUAACUGACGGUAGGAGGUUUUUUACAAAUAAAUCAAUUCUCGCCAUCUACUUGCAACAAGCCCAUACCUCAGGGGAGGUUUUAAAAAAUUAUCCGGCUGAAUAUCGGUGCUGAUUAAUUUUUUCGAAGUCUCAGACUCAGAGGGAGAUCAGCCCCUGAUUACAUAAUGCAUCCAAUUACCAAUUUUUUUCGCGAUCAGAGUAGAAGCCGUCAAACUGAUAAGUUAAAAAGGUUGCUUUAGAAAGCGACGAGCCAUUCAAAGUUUGAACAUCAACAUCAAACCCACUAACCCAGCGAAGUUAUUGUGUGUAGGAGUCGGCCGAAAAAUGGAAGACAGAGGAGAUGCAUAAUCGCCGUCGAUCAAGAAAAUGAAUAUACAAUCAUGAUCAUCAUCAGAAUCACAAAAUAUGGAAAUGUAUCAUAAUCUCAGAAGUAAGAACCAUAAUGUCAUUCAAUGAAUCAAUUCAGUACUCAUCUCCUCAAUUUUUUUUUUAAAUUUUUAAAAAACACGAAAUUGCUUCCCAGAUUUUCAGACACAGAAGAUGCAGGGCCUUGCAAAAUCAAAGUUUUACUCAGUAUCAAACAUUAUUACAAAAAAUAAAAUAAAAAAAGAUUAUUAAUAACAUACAUGUCUAGACAACAAGGGUACCAUCUCGGCCUAGUGCCUUCCAUCAGUCAUCAGACACAAGCAAUGAAAAGAAAAUGAAUUAAAAACAAAAAAAAAAAAAAAAAUCAGCCGUGAUUAGACGCUAAUUAAAGUUGAGAGCUUGAUCAAGAAUCAAGACUCAGAGGCCGCAUCUGAACUGUAGCCACUAGGAGUUUCAGCUGGGGUUGAUGAGCUUGAGCUAAGCCCACCACCACCACCAAGUCCAUUUCUCCUUCUCUUUCCUCCAGCUGAUCCGAGCAAAUCCUUCAAUAUUUUCUUCAAAACUUGGCCUCUUUUUGGUGGCAGGCGAAGGUUUUGGUUCUUCGUGAGCUUAUAUGCUUCGUACUCCAUUUUCUUGAAAUGGGUAUACUUCAAUUUCAAUUCGAGAGAUGUUUGAUGAUAAGUGAUUUGCGAUAUACUGAAUUGGCGAGAAGGGAAGAUUUAUAGCGAACUCAGUUACUUACUUGCUAAGUAUUUUGCAAUGCAGAUUUGAGUGAGUGGUAGUAGUACCACUGAAUCAUUGACUCAAGACUCAAAGAGGUAAUGAUUCCAUGGUCUUGGGACCAUUGUAUCCGAGGUACAAGAGCUUAACUUACAAAAAAAGAAAAUUGAAACUUGAAAGUUCCAAUUAUGUAUGUGUCGGAGAAAAGUCUAAAUUAUUAUGAAAUUAUUAUUUUACUUAAGGAUCCAGCUAUGGUGCCACAGUUGUAUGUUACCGGUUUCAUAUAUAUGAUAAUUUAUAGUAUGCUAAAAAUAUCUUUUAAAAAAAAUAGAAAUAUGGUGCUAAUUAAAAUUAAGACCUAAAUAAAAAUAAAUAAAAAUAUUUGGAAUUGAAACUCGAAGUAGUACUCUGGGAAGUCAUCAGCCCAUUGAUUUAACGGCCAUGACAAUGAUUUCUCUCUCUCUCUUUUUUAUUUUUUUUAAUUGGAAUGUGAUCUCCACCUAUAAUAGUUGAAGUGGAUUCACUAAAUCUCCCAUAAAAAUUUUCAUGUAACUCAUUAGACUUUAAUAUUUGAAGCCAUUUAUUCUUCUUUUAGUCUUAAAAAAUACGUAAAGAAUGUAUUAUGUAUUUUUGUUAUUAGACAUUGCUUAAUUAAGACUUGAGUCUUAUACUUCAUCUUAAAUAAUGUAUUUGAUCCUAUGUAAUCUUGUAGUUGCACUCAUCGUGGUGAUGUAUUUAUUAUUGAGUAUUGACCUUUUUUUAAUGAACCUCGUUUUAAAAUAAUAACUUGUCUUCUAGAAAGAUGCACCAUUGUGCAGGCAACAGAACCACGUGGCGCACGCAUACAAAGGUUCUACACUAUUUGUUAAAAGUAAAAAUAAUUAAAAUGUUUUGCUACAUUUUAUCUUCAGUUUACAUCAGUCAAUUAUUGCUUUGUGGCUUGUGCUAACAGCAAAAAAAUUGAUUUUUUUUUUUUAACAUAAACACUAAUUGUACAUCGAACCCAAAACAGAAUUUAACUCAUUUUGGAUGAAUAUGAUACCCCAUUAAGCUGCGCUUGCCAAUUUGUUCGCCUUUGGGAUAGAAAAUUCGAAACCGACAGCUUAAUUUAUUUGCUCGUGAUUUCAAAUAAAAAGCACAAAGUGGCGAGAUCAUCUCAAAGUUUUGAUGCGAAUCAAAACCGGAUUACUGAAACGACAACGUAUAAGUCUCAUUGAUGUUUCAAGUUAGUCAUGUGCUUCUCAUGUGACCUCCUAAUUGAUUCCACGAGCAACAAAACGGCAUAGCAUUUUCGCGUUUUGGUGGUUCAUUCAGCGAGGCAUGUGGAAAGCGCGUGAGCAGCUUAAGCAAAGGUUCUUACGACCGUUAAUGUACGUGGCAGCUUUCUGUGCAAUCCGGGAAUGCAAGUUGCGGCUGAAUUGUUUAUUAAUUGAGUUUCUCGUUAGAUUGUUUGAGUCGAUUCAUUAUUCUUAUUCAGAUGCACUUUAAUUUGCAUCUUGGGAAGUAGCUUGCAUGGUUUUGUUUCUCUUUGUCACCCAAGUUACUGCAAUUAUGUUUAGGCCAGUGCUACGUUAUAAUUAACGUAGCGUACGCCCACACACAACAAUAGUAUUGGUUCCUAUCAAUAGACACUGUUGCUGUGUGUGGGUGUACGUUAUCGUAACAUAGGGGGCUUCUUAUAUUUAACACCAUAAAAUCAGAGCACAAGGAGAUAAGGAAAGAAUUGAAGAAAUGUUACCAAUUUUCAUGUGCAUUUUACAUUUGGCACCUCAUGAUUUUAUUUAAUUUUUACAACUUAAUUUUAUUGAUCCUCCAUUGUGAUCCCCACGGUUGGCUGGCCUCUCUCAAUUUUACAGGUUUUAUAUUAUAACCUAAUAAAUUAAUGAUUUUUCCAUCAAAGUCCCCAUCGACCAAAAUCGAGACUCUGCCACUACACGUGUUUAAUUCCACAGUCAUCGCCUCCAAAUGUAAAAACACACCAUUACCAUAUUGCUAAGAGAGAAUAUGACGAGCAAGAUGCGCAAAAGAAGAUUAAUAAUGUUAAUUACAUAAUUGCCAAAAUCUUUGAAAAAUUAAAAAUUGUAUACAUUACAAACAAAAUCAAAAAACAAAAAACACAGUAAUAAUACACAGGCCUAAACAUGGGUAUCCAUCUCCCAAAAAUCCUAUCUUUUAACCAUCAAACCCCAUCCUUCCAUAAUCAUCUUCAAGAAAAAGAAAAUAUCGAAGAACAAAAUGUAAAAAAAAAAAUGGAAAAAAGAAAAGUUGAGCCAUAAUUAGCCUAUAAUUAAAGUUAAUAGCUUAAUCAAGAUUCAAGACUCACAGACUCAAAGGAAGCAUCUGAAUUGUGGCCACUAGGAGUUUCAGCUGGGGUUGAUGCGCUUAAGCUACUAAGCCCACCACUAGAAGCUUCAGAUAUGGGGAUUACUCAAGAAUGAACCCCUCCCCGAACCCGCUUGGGUUUGUCCCCACGAUCAGACCCGAAAUUACUUUGAAGCGUUUGGAGAGGGUAGUACCCGACCGGAAUGAGCCGGACCCCCACGAGUUCCGGUCCCGUGGAGAUUUUUACUGUCCCUACUGACAAGUCCAUCUCCUUUCUUCUUUCCUCCAGCUGAUCCGAACAAGUACUUCAAUAUUUGCUUCAGAACUUGGCCUCUUUUCGGUGGCAGGCGGUGGUUUUGCUUCUUGCUGAGCUUAAAUGCUUCGUGUUCCAUUUGCUUGAAAUGGGUAUGUUUUCUUGAAUUUUAAUGUAAAGAGGAAAAAACAGAGGAGAAACAGAGCAAGAGAAGACAGAGAGGGGGAGAGAGAAGAUGAACUUUUCUUAACUGGGUUGUUUGCUUGCUUUUGCUAUUCUUUGAUUGAUUUGGUGAUAAGUGAGAGUGAAGUAGGGAUUGGUUUAUUUUUAGAGAGCUCAGUAGCUUGCUACGCAAGUAUCUCACUGUAGCUUUAACCGUGCUUUGAAAGCUUUGGUAUGUUUUUCCAAUUUUGCUCAUAAAAUUUAGCCGAUUUUGCUCUAAAAUUGUGUUAUACUGCAUCUAAUUUAAAAAAAAAUUACAUAUUUACAUGGUUCAACUUUCAACUUUCUAAGUUAAGGAGGAGAAAAAGAAAAAGAUAACUCCAAACCUAUAUUAUUUCCACUUAAUAAUUCAUAUAUUUUGAUUGAAUUAGUUGGCAAUUCGCAAUGUCAUUUUUAAAUUAUUUACUACUGUGUUUUAACUUUGAGCAAAGGGUUUUUAUAGGAUUUUCUUGGCGAGCUAACUGCUGUACUCUUAAGAAACAAACUAAAAAUACUUAGAAAGAUGCUCAGAAUAGAAAUUAAUUUUUUGUUAAAAAAAUUAAGGAUGUUUAAAAUAUAAUUUAAGAUUCAUUAUAGUAAUAAUUAAAGGUGUAGUAAAUACGUAUACUCAAUCCUGAACAGAGUCCAAUCGACGCGAAUGAAGAUGGACUCAUUGAGUCAGUGAUUCCAUGGUCAUGGGACCAUCACGGUUCACUGAAUCUAAGGGUGAAGAGGACGGGAAUAAAUCUGGACUAGAGAAGUAACACCAAACUUUUGCGGAUCACCUUCAUCAGGCAGGAGUCGGGAUCACGUGGUCCAUGUUCAAACUUCGUACGGAUGACUAUGUUUUGCAAUUUGUGCUCAUUCUUUGCUUUAUGGUGUCGAUGAAUAGAUUAAUAAUUCUUGGUUAGUUGAAAAUUAAUUUUUCAGUGAAAGUAGUUCCGUAAAUUUGAUUUAAUAUACAGAUUUGUAAUCAAACACCUCUUAACAGUUUUUACACUUUGGAUUAUAAUAAUAGAUAUUUUUAUGUGCAUGACUUGUACAAAUUUCAUACUUGGCUUUCGCAUCAACAAAAACAAUCAAACUAAGACACAUUUGGCCUGUGGCAGGACAAUUCAAUACAAUAAGUCUUCGUGUUUUCCGAAACAAAAACAAAAAAAAAUAAAUUUUGAGCUGUGUGAGUGAAUAAGUCCAAUGACCAAUCUCCAAAAAGCAUACAUGCUUCUUUUGAUCUCACGUAAAGCAUCGACUUGAAUUGAAAUAUCACCCUUUUCGGCCAAAAUUCAGAAGUUUGACUCUGACUGAAUUUAUGUGGCUUAAACCGACCAUGGGCCGCCAGCUUGCUGCUGAUUGGGAAUGAGAGGGAAUGCUCUUAGCCACGUAGUGUAAAAAGGUCGCUUUGGGGGUUUCUCAGCGGCCCACAUAGUGUGAAAGGUCGAGUUUGGGCCCUUUUUUUUGUUGGUUUCUUCUAAGUCUUCUUCAGCCGUUACUAUAGAAUAAGAACUGUCGCUAGGAGUUGCCCAUUCAAUCAGUUCUGAAAUCUUUAGGACAAUGUGACAAUGGAAUCUUGAAAAAGCAAUGGGAAUGAGAACGCGGAUACAACUGCCUCGUUGUUUCUAAGACUUCUGCGCCUUUUUCUUUGCCGAAUCACUUGCCACAUGAAUUGGAAUCUCAGGAAAAUGGAAAUUAUGCAGUCCCAAAAAUAAUCAAACUCACCUCUUCACCACGGGACUUGGGGUAAAAGUGAGCUAAUCAAUGACCUAUAUACUGAUGCAUAAGAUGCUAAAUUAGAAUUUGCAAUAUAAUUUUUCUCUAUUAAUUGCUAAAUGAAAGAACAUUGAUGAGACAUAGAAACAAGUUGUUUGAUUAUCCUUGGCCCUCCAAGGGUAUGUUCUAGUACGAGUAAGCAUAAUGUUACGAGCCGUUCAAAUUUGUCACCAACAAAGGCAAACUUCGCGCGCAUGGGUACAUUUAGUAAAAGUCUCCCUACUAACGGGAUGCGCUCCGCAAAACAAUAGAACGUACUUAACAACGUGGUACACUCAACACUGGGCCAUUGUAUACAACUAGCUAGCCAUGGUACGCCCAACUCGAAAUCUAGAAUUCUCUAUAAUUUGCAAAUAGCUAAAAUUCUCUCGACUUUUGCAUUUAAGUCCUAAGAAGAUAUUUAUGCAAGUUGCUAGGAAGCUUUAUGAGCUUGGCAUCCAAGCCUAUAAAUACCCCAUGGCACUUGCCAUUUUUUAUCUCCACACCAAGCACAUUUCAGUACACACACAAGCUCUCAAGCUCUUGCAAAAAGUUAUCUUGUAUUUUUUUCAUUUGUGAGUAAAAAAAUUAUAUUUGGUUAUAUUACUCUCUCUUCUCUCUAGCAUUGUCGCAAACAUCUUUACUUGGCUAGUUUGAGAAGAUAAUUAGGGUUACUUAGCAACUUUUAUGCUAUAAUUUGUCUAAAUGCCGCACAGGUUUAUUGUGCGCAAUACUCAUCUUGUGACAAUAAGUUUAAUUAGUGCAUGACCACCAUAACUGUUUGUAUUAUCAAAGCAAUCAAAAAUCUCCUUGGUAUAGCUUGAAGAUGAUUUGAUUUAAACUACUAACACAAUGGUUGAGUAACAUUCUUAAUUAAUUGGAAAAAAAAUACGUUCAAUGUCUUCUCCAGCCAUAUAUCAUAGCAUGAAGAUCUGUUGCCUCUUAACAUUUGUGAAAGAAGAAUAUGUUAUCUUACUAUUAUACCUAUGCUGGGGAAAUAUAUUUUUUAUGCCCCUACUAUUUCUGAAAUAAAACUAACUUAAACUUAUCCUAAAGAUGUUGUCAAAACUUGCUGAUGAACUUCACAUCCUAAUUUAAAGUAAUGGUCUUUAGAACAUUAUGCAAGCGCACUACCUCAAGAAAGAACAAAUGUGUAACUAAGGCAGCAUCUUCGGUCUUCUUACAUAUGAUAAAAUGUGUCAUAUUAAAAAAUCUAUCGACCAUAACCAGUAUAGAAGUGAACUUCUAUACAAGUGAACUUCUAUAUAUAACUCACUCAUCUCACAUGUAUCUUUUACAGAUUUUACUGGCUAUUAAAGUACUUCAAGGCUUGAUGAUCACUGUAAAUCAUGAACUCCUUUUGAACCAGGUAAUAUUCUUAUGUCUUCAAUGUCAUAAAGAUAACAUAAAAUGCUUGGUCAUAAAUAGACCACUUCUAUCGUGCUUCAUUUAACUUCUCACUCAUGUAUUUAAUUGGCCGUUCCUCUUAGAAAAGAACAAUCCUAAUACCCUAAUAUCUUUACUAGAAGCAUCACACUCGACUUCAAACAACUUGUCAAAGUUUGGUAAGGCUAGUACAAGAGUAGUAGACGAAUUUUCCUUUAGUAAAGCAAAACUUGUUAAAUUAGCAUUAAGUCAAAAUGAAACAUAAAAUGGUGGAAAUUUAGCAUAAGAUUUGCAAAUGAAAAGUAAAACAAAUAUACUAAGUUGAUGUAUUACUAAUAAACAAAACAUGAACUUACAAAUAUAACACAAAACUCGUAAAUCAACAUUAAGAGCAAAAUAAAACAUAGAUUUUAGAAUUAAAGAAAUAAUAGGUAGAAAGAAAUAUAUUAUUCUAAAUUUGUACAGUUUACUUUAGCUAGAUAGAAGUGAUAGGUAGGAAAAAAAAUGGAUUGAUUAUGAAUGCAAGUAAUUUGUUAAAAAAAAUUCUUCAGUGUGUUUAAUUCUUAUUUUUUCUCCAAUGUAAUUUUAUUUAAAGCGAAGUUUUAUAAGAAUAAUAAAGAGAUGCUGCUAACUUCGCUCUAAAUACAAAGGAUCGAAAAUUCACACACACGGUCCAAUGCCAUAGGUCGGCCUUUCUAGGGCCCAAUUUCUUGUAUUCGUGAAGGAAUCUUUAUAAAAUCACUUCUAUUAGUUUUAUUUAUGUUCACCCUUGUCCGUUUUGCCCCGGGUCCUUAGAUGGGAUUAUUUUGUAUUUACAAAUGAUAAUAGAUGAGUGACGCUAAUGGCACUCUCUUUUCUUAUAAAAUUCCUAAUUUCCUAUUGUUUUGUAAUUAUCAUUUUAUCCUCUAUAUCUUAGACUGUAUAUUGUAUUAAAAACUCAUCUAAUUCACUCAAUCUCUUUCUUUAUUGCAAACUCUUUAAAUUGAAAAACUUAAAAAAAAAAGGUCUAUUCAAAGAGUAAAAAUUUGAUUUAAACAAGUUUUAUUCACUUAUCUACAAUUUAUUUUUGUAAAAAAAAUAAAUUUGUGAACUUUUCAUAGAUUAUUAAUAUAGGUAUGUUAGGAGACAAAUAAUUUUUUUUGUCUAUCUUAUUUUCUUUGCAAAAUAGAAUGAGAGAGAGAGAUGCUCAUUUGGAAUUUCUGAGAAAGAAGCAUGAAGAUUCAAGAUGGGAUUUAUUAAAGAAGAAUAACAAAAAAAAAAAAAAAGUUAUUUUUGAAAGUUGGAAGGGGUUGGAAUGGGAGACACAGUCACUCAAUAAAAGUCUUUCUUGGAAUAUGAGUUUAAAUACAAAAGGGCGUUGAAAAGAAUAAUAUUAGCACCGUGUAUUACAGGUCGGACACGUGUAGGACACCUGCCAAGCCCAUGUCAAUCCGACGCCUGGCAGUUUUUUGAAUAUUAGAUCAACCAGUUUGACUAAAAAGCCUCGGCUCUUUCAAACUUUCAAGGCGAACACGAACGAACCCCACACAUAUCUCAGUGGAAGGAAAAAUAAAAAGGUAAAAGCAAAAAUAAUAGUCACCAAUUCACCAUACUUAUCAUCUCCGGUCAGGUCUUUGUACGGUCAGUUUUUUGAAGCUGAUAAUAAAAAAACUAAUCUGAGUCAUCGCAUUGGUCAACUUAAAAACGCAAAUAAUUCUUCGUUCAAAUUUCGAAAGCCAACAUCAGAAAAUUAAAAGCAGAGCCAAACGGCAACUUGCUACAGACAGCAAAAGAGAGAGGACAGAGGCUUUACUUAAAAACGCGAGAACUCUUAUCUUCUUUCUCAUUCGUCUUCGGCUUAAAAGUUGGUUUUUUUAAAAAAAAAAUGGAGAACGAAUCGAUGGUGAUGAAAGACAGAGGGAUUCCACUGUACGGUGGCAAAUACGUACAGUACAAUAUUCUAGGAAACCUCUUUCAGGUCUCCUCUAAGUAUGUUCCUCCUCUUCAGCCUAUUGGUCGCGGCGCAUACGGCAUCGUUUGGUAUAAUUUUUUUUCAAUCUUUCUUUUUUCUUUUUUUAGCUUUUGGAAGUAAAUUAUGUCGAGAAUUUAGGCUGCUUAAUUUCCUGCAACUUAAAAGGAGUGUUUGAUUCGGUAUCGGACAAGUUCUGGUUUUGCUUUUUUUUUUUUAAAGUAACCAUUUAAAUUAUCUUAAAAUAUGAAAUAAAUAUUUAAAAACAAUUCGCUGUUUUCUACUACAGUUUUGUUCAUAGUACAUGAAGAAAAGCUAAAAUGAUAUUCAAAUUUUAAAAAAAAAGUAUUUUUCUUACAAAGAAGAUUCUAGAAUCUCUCUAUUUAAUUAUAUUUUUAUUGUUUGGGCAUGUUGGGUCUUGCUUUUUUAAGCUGAGGAUUUAUAAUUUCAGUUUAAUUUAUUUUUGUAUUAAUUGUGUAUUUAAUGAUGAUUUGGUUAUUACUUAUUAAUGUAAUUAAUGUUUUUUCUAUGUAAGAAUUGAUGCAAUUUUCUGAUGAAAAAUUGAACUUUGUUAAUGUAAUGCAGUAGUGCUGUAAAUUCAGAGACAAAAGAAGAGGUUGCAAUAAAGAAAAUUACGAAUGCAUUCGAUAACAGGAUUGAUGCCAAGAGGAUCCUCCGUGAGAUCAAACUCCUCUGUCACAUGACUCAUGAGAAUGUAUUUACUUCUGUAAACUUAUAGGCUUGUUUACUGUCCUGUGUUUUUCUAGCAUUAUUACUCUACUUUCACUUGCAAAUCCCUGCUUCUGAUCAAAAGAUGUUUUCCUAGAAUUGCCUAUAUAUAUGUGUCUGUAUUAAUGAUCUAGUGGGCGAUGUUGCUCAUGUUAUGGUGAGCCACGCUGCUAUGUGGUGUGCUCUAGUUAUCUAUAGCUUCAACUCUAUCUUUAAGGUGUUACAGAAUCAUGUCAUGUUUGCAGUUGCUCAAUAGAUCAUUUUUCUGUGUAUACAUAUCCACACACAACAAAUGAUCUGGUAAGUGCAGUUCUAUAAUGCCUUGUGAAUGGUGUUGAAGUUGUUUAAUCUGACAGGCCAACAUGACAGUGUUGCUCACUAUAACGUGAGCAACGUCACCUAUUAGAUCAUUACUCUCUCUCUCUAUAUAUAAGAGUUCUAAAGUGUAGACAUCUAUUAAAAUUCAAAUCAACAAUCAGAGAGUUGCUAGAAGACAAAAAAAUUUCAACGCCAAUUAAUUAUUAAUUAGGCAAUUUCUUAACAUAGAGUUGAACAAAGUUUUGUUUCUUCAGCAAUACUCUUUACAACAAGUUGGUUUGGAUUUUAAGAAAAGUAGGCACCACUAGGCAACACAGGAAAGGAAUAUGUAUAUAUGUAUAUUUUCAUUUCAGUAAUGCGUUAGUAAUGUGCAUGGUGUUCUUGUGGAGCUUUUGCAGACUAAUUGUAACAUUUGCCAAAAGGAGUAUUGUACAUAAUAUCCAUCUAUGACCAUUUGUUUUAUUUUUUCAAUGAUGUGAAUGGGAGAAGAUCAAGACAUUAGUUUUGUGCAGAUUGUCAAGGUGAAGGACAUAAUACCACCGAUGGAUAAGGAAAAGUUCAAUGACGUUUAUAUUGUAUAUGAGUUGAUGGAUACUGAUCUGCAUCAGAUAAUACGCUCCAAACAGGCUCUGACUGAUGAUCAUUGUCAGGUAAAUAAGUUGGAUCCUUUUUCUUCUGUUAUAGUAGUGGUUUAUACUGUCAAAUGAGUAUAUACAUCGCAAGCUUUUAUUGCGUUGGGUGAGAAAAGUUUUAUGAACAGUGGGUUUAUGCUCUUGUUUUAUCGAAUUAGGAGCUGGCUGGCAAAUAUCUUGUAUCUGUUAAUCUGCUGCAACUUUCCUUGUGUUGUCCUUAUUAUUCAGAUGUGUGCUCUUACCUUAGUAUGCUCGAAAUGAAGAAAUGUUUGCUAUAUAUGUUAACAACAUCACCUAAAGCCUGAAGGGAACAAUUCCAUCCUUCACUAGCAUGCCAAAUGGUUGUUUUUUCCUGAAUGGGCUCCUCAAAGCUGAGAAGACUGUUUUGUGAAUUAAGAUUCUUCCUAGAGAAGAUUAAGAAAUAAGAAUGCUUUUGCCUGACCCAUAUCCCCAGGAGGAUCCAAGCAAAACUUCUUGGAGAAUUAAACCUAUUUAUUGAACCCUGUUGCUCUACCCAUUUUGAAGUGUUCCUUCUGUGCUUGUCAAUUUGUUUCUCUACGAGUGUAGUUCAGUACAGUAUAAUGGAAUAUUUUCUCAAGCUGGUUUCUACUAGAUGAAACUUACUUAUAACAGAGGUACUCAUUGUUCAAUGGCUUCUGCAGUAUUUCCUAUACCAAUUGCUGCGGGGACUGAAGUACAUACACUCUGCUAAUGUUUUGCACCGAGAUUUAAAACCAAGCAACCUGCUGCUCAAUGCAAACUGUGAUCUUAAGAUUUGUGACUUUGGACUAGCAAGAACCACUUCAGAGACAGAUUUCAUGACGGAGUAUGUUGUAACCCGAUGGUAUCGAGCCCCUGAAUUGCUGCUUAACUGUUCAGAAUAUACUGCAGCUAUUGAUAUUUGGUCGGUUGGUUGCAUUUUCAUGGAGAUUAUGCAAAGGGAUACUCUUUUUCCUGGUAAAGACUACGUUCAACAGUUGACAAUGAUAACUGAGGUGCUCAUCCUUUCUCAUUAUUCUCCUAUUGGCUUUUGAAACUACAUUUGAAUUGCAUAAUUAGGUAAUGGAUAUAAUGAAUAAAAAUUCUUGUUUGGCUUUUACCAAAAAUAGCUAUUAGGUUCACCGGAUGAUUCAGAUCUUGGAUUCCUAAGAAGUGAUAAUGCCCGGAGAUAUGUUAAGCAGCUUCCACAUGUCCCCAAGCAACCCUUUUCUCAGAAGUUCCCCAAUAUGUCUCCCGUGGCAAUUGACCUUGCAGAGAGAAUGCUAGUGUUCGAUCCGGCCAAACGCAUAACAGGUAUGCUCCUUGUAUAACACAUUCACACCUGACCAAUUUAUUUUUCACUUUCUUUUUACUGACAAGAAACAUCUCUAUUUUUGUGAUGCAUGUGAAGUGGAGGAAGCAUUAAACCAUCCAUAUCUAUCAAGUCUUCAUGAGAUCAAUGAGGAGCCUACCUGUCCGUAUCCUUUCAACUUUGAUUUUGAACAGACAUCCAUGAAUGAAGAAGAUAUAAAGGAGCUCAUAUUGAGAGAGUGUUUGAACUUCAACCCAGAUCACAUGCUCGAGUAAUCUUUGACCUUUGUUUCUGUUGAUCGGUUCAUUUGAGUGAUGUCAAGGUUGAUUAUGGUUUGCAAAGCUAGCAUGUAUGUCGUAUGCAAUUAGGGAACUCUGCAUAAGCAGAAAAUUUGGGAGAUAGGUUCUCCCUUCUGAUUUUAGUAGGGUGGAAUGGCUUUAUGGCAGUAUAUCAUAUAAUACAAGUUACCGGAUUAGUUAAUUUCGACAGUGAAGUUCCCAGUUGGGGUUUGUAAUUUGGGAUUUAUAAAAGAAGGCCGUUUGCUCCUAGCCUCCUUUGGUUUGGGAUGUGUUUGUAUAGUGUAAAUUAAAUUUUAUCAAAACAGAAGAAGAAAGUAUUAAUCUGAGAUAGAAUACAUGACUGGCAACAAUGUACUGAUUUUAAUUUCUUGGUUGUAAGUUUUAGACUCUGUAAUGCCUAAUUAGUCUGUGUUAGCAGGCAACUUAAGUGAAAUGUUUAUGAGAUUUCUAUUGUUCUAUUUUUCUAGUGCCGUCUAAUUCUUGAAUUUUGUCCUGGCAAUCCGUAACAAGCACUACCAGAUCGCUAAAUUGUUUUUCUCCCAAUUUAUCUGAGGGAGCUAAUCAGGUGCGCACGGUCACAUGGGGUGCACGGUAAGGUUUGGAGUAUAGAGCUAUGUUGUGGGGUCACUGCUCCUUAGUUUCGAUCUUGAUAGGUGCCUAAUUACACUGGUAUAAGGUUUACGAUUGUGACAGUUAAUUAUAUUUAUUUAAUAGAGAUUGUUACGUUACAUAAUUAUAUAAUAUACAUAAUUAUAUAGUAAUCGUUGAAUUUUUAUUAAUCAACUGUUAUAUGAUUAUAAUCAUAUAAUGUUAUAUAAUUAUGUAAUAUAAUAAAAGUCUUAUUUAUAUAAAAACUUUCAAGUUAUUUAUAUUUUAUUGGAUAUGGAAUUUCACCCACCAGUUACAUGUACGGGUCCACCCAUUUGAGUUAAAUAAAACUUGCGAACUUCUGCAAAAUUGAGUUGAGAAGUAUGCAUACGCUCUAUAAAUACGUCCAAGAAGUAAGGAGUUAUAUUUAUUAAUUUGUCAGUCAUCAUAAGCAUACACAAAGCAGCGAAAGAGAAGAAAUAAUGAGGCUCUCAAUUCUCGCAGUCGCCAAAGCUCUGCAGAGCCAAAACAAAAAGAAGCUAUCACCACUUCUAUUCUCAUUCUCCACAGCUUCUCGAUCAUUCUCACAGCUGAGCUCACAAUCUCAACGGUGCGUUUUGAGCUCCUACUUUUACUAAUAAAUAAAAAAAAAUUUCGUCAAACUUAUUACAUACGAAUUUUCAUUUCCUCACUAUUUAUUUAUGAUGAUCGUUGACUGAUUGACAGGCCUUCGUUUGGCAUUGCUUUCGACAUAGACGGUGUCGUUCUUUUAGGAAACACUCCCAUUGGUGGCUCUAAUAAAGCUCUCAAAAGGCUGUACCAACAUUCCGGUAUACACAAACUCCAAAAAUGCAAUUUUGUUUGAGAAUAAAUUUAUAGAAUUUUUAUUUAUUUAUUUACUUUCGUCUUAUGGACAGGUGAUUUGAGGAUCCCUUACAUUUUCUUGACCAAUGGUGAGUCAUUUUCUUGAUGAUGAUGAUUAACAUGGCAUUUUAGAUUACCUGAUAGUUGCUAGUGCACAUGUUCAUUGAACUUAUCUAGUACGCUUAGUUUAUCUAGUGCACAUGCAUGUUUGCGUAUAUUUUGGAAGCAAGCAGCUAUAGUGUUUUUUUUUUUUUUAACGCGCCCGCUUUUACUUUGCAAUAGCUAUGGAUGGCUUUGCAUUACUGAUAUAGAAAUAGAGGAAUAUGUUUUUAUUCCAGAUAGAUAUUUAUGCACAUUGAGAUGGAUUUUUUGUGGGAAAUUUUGCUAUGAAGUUUGCUUCUUGGUGAUUGAAGUUAUGAAUAAUAUUAGAGAUAUUACUUAUUAUUAGUUGGCUAAUCUGCAGUUGAUUCUGACUUCAACAGGAGGUGGUUUUCGUGAAUCUAAAAGAGCCACUGAGUUAAGCAAACUUCUGGGUGUGAAUAUUCUACCUUGUCAGGUAAUGCUGCAACAAUUCUUAAAACCUUUAACCUGUGUUUACUUUAUGAUUUUUUUUUUCCUUUUAUUCUAUAGCAAUUUGUUAUCAAUUAUUUCAGUGUCAAACUAACAGACUUUGAUGAAAACUUCUAUUUCUUUUUCCUGGUUAUUGUGCAUAGCAUUCUUUUACUUUUAUUAGCUUUUUAAAAUGUGAUUCCACACAGGUAGUACAAGGCCAUUCACCUUUUAAACAGCUCUUUAAUAGGUAAGGUACAGGUAUGAUUUGUAGCUAGUUUAUGUAUUGAUAUUGAUGUGCAUAUUUAUGCUGAAGUAGAGGAUCCUAAAGUAUUGAGUAGAAUAAUGAGCAUAAAUGACAUUAAUUUUAUCUUUAACGUCAUUGUGUUGAAAAUAAAGACUAUAAUAUAUGGGCAUUUGUAAAGCUAUUAAUCUCUCUCUUUUUUCUUUAUUCCAUGUUAUUCGUUCUAAACUUCCACUAAAGCAGAGAAUCAUUAUGCCUUCCCCGUUGAAUCUUGUCAAAUCAAAUCAACAUAAGCUGUAUCUUUAUGGUCAAUAUGGUUGAUGGCAGAUCUAAAUGUACUUUUUUUCCACACAGAGAGAAUCACUUGUGGUAGUUCGCAACUCUGAUCAAUGGAGAUGAAUGAAAGGCUAAUUAACUUAGCAGUUCAGUCUCAGAGUAAGAUAGAUAAAUCAUUUCUAAUUUUUCAGUGAAGCUACAUGCGUCCUGCCGGAGUUGAAAUGAGGAGAAAUUUAUUCAUCGUUAGAGAGAUCUGAAUUAAAAUAACACAUAAAUCUGUAGGAUUGUGGAAGUUUUUUUCUAGUCCAAUUAUCUUUGCAGUGAUAACACUUUUGAAUUGUGCAGAUUUGAGAACGAAUUCAUUGUUGCCGUUGGUAAAGGUGAACCUGCUGCGGUAAUGGCUGAUUAUGGAUUUAAGUAGGCUCUUGGUUUCUUUUUCUUUUUUUUCCCCCCCUCACCAUUCACCACAAGUCUUGGAAAUAGUCAUAUCUUCCUGAGUUUUUAUACCUGAAUCACUAUUGUGCUUGUUCAUUUUAUCUGCAGAAAUGUGCUUUCAAUAGAUGAGUAUGCAUCCUACUUUGACGGCAUUGAUCCUCUCGCACAAUAUAAGAAGUGGAAUAUUAAACAUGCUGCUAGUGAAAAUAGAACUUUUAAGGAGAUGGCUCCGACUAUUUGCUCCCAGAGAGUUCAAGCAGCAUUUAUAGUUAGUGAUUCUGUUGACUGGAGCAGAGACAUUCAGGUUGACUUAGGUUUUUUAGCUAAUAUGAUCAGUAACUGUUAUUUACAUUCAGUGAAAGGACUUGCAGUCAAAUUAUUAGCUAUAACUGGUCAACAAAGGUGCCGGGCUCAAUGUCUUAACAUCCAUAUGGAUGAACAGUUAAGAAUUAAAUUUUGACCUUCCCCUUUGUCCUACUGGUGUUGUGUCAGUAUUGUGGUCAGGAGUGUUGGCCUUUAUAAUCCAACCCUAUACUUUUCCAGCUUAUGGAUCUUACUGUUCUUGUGGAAAGUUUAUAAUUCUACCUGAAGUUGAUUUGUUAUGAUUUUUGUUUAGGUUGUUUCAGUUCUCAGCUGCUGAAUGUCUGGCCAAAACCUGAGAAUCACAGUGCAUUUCUUUUUUUCUGUCUAUAAUAUAGGAAACUUUGUGGGAAAGAAAAGAAAAAUACAUUCAAUCUAAUUUUGUUAAUAGUAAGUCUCGACUAUAAUCAAAUUAGAGGUUUGAACUUUGAAUGGUCAUCCUGAGUCACAACAGUUUCAAACUUGCUCUUGUUGUCAUGUCUUCUGAAAACAUCCUUCUACUCCUGUUAUUUUUGGUCUUUGAAUAUUUACUACAGUAAAUGUCUUUUAGGUUCUUUGUGACAUUUUAAGAACUGGAGGUCUACCUGGAAGGGAAACUGGACACCAGCCGCAUUUGUAUUUUGCAAAUGAUGAUCUUAAAUACCAGGUUAGUUCUUAUGUAGACUCUAUAUGUUGGUUGUUAUCUUGAGUUUUUGUAGAAAUCUUUUUUAAAACUGGUUAUAUACUGACAAGGUGCUGUUGAAGUUAGGCUACUUUCCCUUCUGAACGUCUGGGUAUGGGAGCUUUCAGAAUUGCACUGGAAUCCAUUUUCAAUAGGUAAGAGAGCUCCAGUAGUUGAUCCUAUACUGUCUGAAUUUUUUCAAUGAAUACUUGGAAAUGUCUUGCUGGCCCACUUAUUGACGGUCCUUGACUUAUUUGACCACAAUCACUCAAAUGAGUUGGAGGCUAACCUGUGGACGUCUGCUUCUGAGAGAUGGCCCUUUUUUGAGAUUUGAUGAAUUGACACCAAAUGUUGAAAAUGUAACCUGUAUAUCCCAUGUUCUCUAAUCUCUACCCUUUGGCACUAUAUAAUUUCAAUAUUGUGUGAUGCAAUGAACUUUUCUGCCUUUUCAUUAAUUAUGCAGAAUUCACCCAAACCCUCUGGAGUAUACUUCUUUUGGCAAGCCAAAUCCAUUAGUUUUUCAGAACGCUGAGUUGGCACUAAAGCAACUAGUUCUUUCUCUUUGUCCUAAUGCUCAUGUUGUGAAUCAUGCAACUUCUGAAAGUCAUCAUUUUAGAACGCUGUACAUGAUUGGAGAUAACCCUUCAGUUGACAUUAAAGGAGCACGCCAGGUUUGUCUCACAUGUCUAGAAAUGUGGAUUCAUAAUCUCAUAUAUUUGUAUUGUCAACUACAUAUUUUUUUUAAAUAUAUUACAGUGCAACAAAAAGAUUUCUUUUGCAAUUUCAGGCCGGGCGACCCUGGUUUUCUAUUCUGACUAGGACUGGGGUUUUCAAGGGAAAGGAAAAUAGUUCUGAGUUUCCGGCAGAUCUGGUAAACAUUCCAUGAACUUGGGCAUUUUGUUAUCCAGGCGUAAUGCGCUCAUAUUUACAGUUAAAUCAAGCACAUUCUAUUUCCCUCUUUUUUUCCCACCCAUAUGUGCUUAAUUACAGUUGAAGUGCUCGAAAUACCAAUUUGGCAUUGAAUUGCGCAACUGAACUUUUAUGUUGAAUUUUGCAGGUCGUUGACACCGUGGAGGAAGCUGUGGAGUAUAUAUUGAGAAAGGAGUCCAUCUAAUACAGAUUCUAUACCCCUACCUGUUCCAAGAUUUCCUGUUAUAUUGUUUGGAACACCAGGCCAUUUAUAUUGAAAGGUGUAGGAUGUAUGGGUCAAUUCAGUUCAGAGUUGCCGUAUGAUACCAAUAGUGAUAACCUAGUAGUUCUUUCUAGGUUUGUAUGUCCAAAUCCAUCUUGGUGUAAAACACAUUGUCUUCAUUUUUUCUUUCUUUCCCCGUAAAUGGGGUUAAUUCUAUUUACGUUGAAUUGUGAAACAAUCUAACACAGUUUCCAAAUAUAAGGAGGGAUCGUUUGUUCUGCUUGCUAUGGACUCCUUGAAGCUGCCCAUUUUAUCUGGCUUUUAUUAUUGUUUACAAGUAAUUGAACUCUAUAAUAUAGUGGAUUUGGGGCAUUAUCACACUUGUUAAACAAACCAAAUGAUCAUUUAGCUUCAGCCAAUGCACUUGGAACGUGAUUAUGCAACAAAAAGAGAAGUUUAGGGCAAGGAGGAAUUCCAUUCAAUGUCCUGAAAACUUUUCAUCUCUCUUUUAGCACGGUAAUUACAAUAGCAUAAAAAUCCAGUACAAAAAUGUAAGUUUCAUAUGUUACAGCACAUGGAAUGGUCUAUAAUGCAAUAAAGACCAAAUUAAGUCCUCUCCGUCUCCUUUUCGUAGAGUUCUAGAGUAAUAUCUCAUAUUCCAUCUUUUUUGGGUCACACCAUAAGUGUUUAGAACUUGAUGACUUGUUUAGGUUGGCUACCGUGUAAUCCAAGUGCCUUACUCAGUGCAGUCUGAAAAUUGUUGAAAGGAACCAGCUCCAUGCUGCAAAGAAAAGCACCUCACCUCAGUUAAUAAAAUAUUAAUAGGUGAUGAUUAAAAGGAAUAACGAAAAGAUGCUUAAUUAAUAUCAUUACAGCAAGUAUUUUUUCUGUUAAGAUGAACGUACUCAUAUUUUAAUUUCCCUUCUCGUGCUAGGCACAGAAGAUAAUCUAUCAUAUUUCUGCACUCUGUUGCUUUCUCUGAGCUCAACCAUUUUUGCAACCAAAAGCCCUUCAAGGAAAGAUCCUGCAAAAAGAUAUAUUUAGAGAUAUUGGCUGUAAGAGUCUUGGAAUGAUAAGUGUGCUUCAAAAAAGACAACCCAUUUGUAAUGCUACUUUUCAUUUUAUUUUUGCUAACACACAAAUAACAAGUUGCAGUAUUCCUUUUUGUUCUUUUCCACUUUCCUUCAAAUUUGAACUCUGGCUUUAUGUUUCUACAUUUUAGGCUUUAGAUUCUUCUGAACAUUAGAGUACACCUCAUGUCCAUGCCUCACUAAUAUCCUUCUAGUAUAACCUUCUUAAGUAGAUGAUGAAAAAACUAAAGAACAAGCAGAUUCUUAAACCCUACAGAAAUUGAUCCUCAAUAGUAACGCUUAAAUGUAACUGACAACAAGGAGAAGGAACUGGAGUAUCAGGGCUUACCUUAAAUAUGAAGGAUGAAGUUGAUACAGUGAUGGGUUUCUUUGACAUUCCACCAUAUGUUACCAUAGUUCCUCCCUGACUGAAAACAAAAGUUUUAUCUCUUAACUUGUGAAAAUAAUUUCUACAUCCAAACAUAUAGCUUUCUCAAUAAUUUAGUAUUGAAGAUCACACCUCAAGAAUUUGAGAACCAUAGAAGCAGAAUUGCCCCCAACACAGUUAAAUCCCAAAGCAGGUUCAGGUAAAUUAGCCUAGCAUACAAUAGACAUAUAAAAUCGUAACAUUGAGUCUGAAGAACUCAAAAUGUAAGAAACAAAUCAAGCAUUACAAAAGCACAUGAUUUUCUAGCACCAAACACAUUAAAGAAGUACAAAUCCUUAGUCUCACAAAUAUAAUGACUAAAAGAUAAUAAUACCAGAAAACCCUUGACAUUUUUCACUUCCAGCUGGCUCUCAGUAAAUACUUCAUCUGCACCAAGUCCUUUAAGCUUUUCCUUAGCUUCAUCUGACCCUGCCCUGGACCAAGCUGAAGAGGGUAAUUGAAGGUAUAUAGGCAGGCAUCCAUUGGAUAACAAAACUUCAAGCAAUUAAAAAAUUCAGUCAGAUAAACCCUUCUUGCCACAUUCUAAAUUUUUAAAAGUUAAAGCUGUGUCUGAUUGUAGGUCUUCCUCCGUCCCAUGUUUGGUAAGGUUAUUAUCAAAUCACUUAUUAGCCACAAAUACCUUUGUUUUUAUUUUAUACAAGUCAUCACCAUGGAGCAAUAUUUCUUUUCAGCUUUCAAUUAAACUUUAAAUAAGAACUAAUUGAUUUUCCACAUCUAAACCUCCAUCAUUGAAUCCUUUAGAAAUGAUCAGGAAGGGUUAUCAGAUAAAAAGAGUACAGAAUAGGUUGUAGUCAGAAAUCUAGUGAGGAUAUGGGAGUUUUACUUCCCAGAGUUGUCCAUAUACUGGUCAAUGACAAUUUGUUCAGCAGAACAUGGCCAAUAGAGCUAGUCAGAUGAGGAUAUAACAUUCUUAGAGGCGUACUCAAUGAGGAUCAUGAGAAACAUCUGUACCCUCAGUAAACUUGAGAAAAGGCAGAUUAGGAUAUAACAUUCCUAGAGGUAAGUACUCAAAGCAGAUCAUGAGAAACAUCUGUACCCUCAGUAAAACUUGAGAAACGAAAUUGAGGAUGCUUGGGGAAAAAUACUCAUGCUUGCAUGUGUCUCUAGCAGUGAUUUAAAGGACGUAAAACUGUAAUAUCCGCAUAUUAAAGACGAAGCUCGUUGGGCACGAUACUGCAAUAGAAGUGAAUGUUUAAAGGCCUUUGUUUGGUGCAAUGAUGGGCAACCCACAAACAAACUAUCAGAACCUGACAAGUAUGUAAAUCUAUCAAACAUUAUUCUGGCAGUGAAAUUCUGACACCAGGUAAAAGUUAAUACAUGCCUAAACUAAGGGUCUCUGUUUUCUUUCAGACCAUACUUCAAUCAACAAUAGGACAAGUAUGAGGUCAACUAUCACUAGAAAAGCUUUUAAAUUAGUUUUGUAGUAAACCUUGGUAAUCCUCAACAUUCAAAGUUUUCAGGAAGAUGAAGAGUAUGAAACCAUAAUUUGUUGGUGAAAGCAAUGUCUAUUGUCAAGGUUAAAACCAUGAACAGAGACCACAGAAAUGUACUCUGUUUAAUUAUCAAAAUUCGAACAAAUUUGCUGAAUAACAAGAUUAAAUGCAACCGAGCUCAAGUAAUACUCAGCUCCCAUGUAAUACCUAUCCCUUAUAAUAUUAAUGCUAUGGAUGCCACGAUGUCUUGCAAUCUGAAUUAUGCACUGCCCCACAAUGCUUGUUGCACCAUUUUGGACGAUAGAAUCUCCUGCUUAUACCAAGAUUUAUCAGGAAAAAGAAGCAAAAGAAUAAUAAAAAAUUGAAAUGAAACAUAAGGCAACACCUGAAUUUAGAGUUGUGAAGUCUUCAAGCAUUCUUAAAGCAGUCAAAGGAUUAACAAUAAUGGUAGCAGCAUACUCCAUAGGUGAAUCUUUACUAAUUUUGUGCCAGACACUCUGAUCUUUCACAACAUAACUCUGCCAUGUUCCUGCAUAAAGCAUCACACAGUGCCCUAUUAUGUUCUCUUGUUAAAUAUGUUAAUAUUUUGUGCCAAAGGUGUUCUAAGUAUUAUCCAAAAUGUCUUUUCUAUUCCUAUUUUUCACAAUGUGUGAAGUCUCUAAGGUGCAGUAAUUGUCCCACGUGCAACUGCAAGACCAGCACACAUUUUCUUCUUUUAAAAAGAGUAACACAUCAUGACCACAAGCAGCAAGUAUGAAAUAGCUUGCAAAGUUGGAAAAAGCAAAUCUACCUGAUGAGGGUGGAGAGGGGAUGACCCAAUCACCGGGGGCCAGUCUCGUAACUGCAGAGCCGACAGAAUACACCUCUCCAACACCCUCAUACCCUCCAACUGCUGGCACUUUUGGCCUCACCGGGUACACCCCUGCCAACAACACCAAAUUAACAAUUUUUCAAUUCUAUCCUAUGCAAUGAACUAAACCAAUCAUGCAGAAACCAUAAAUAAAAAACAAUAAAUAAAAUUUUGCAAUUUCUGUGCUUGGCGUAAAGUAGAAAUUUUACUCGGCUGAGUUAAUAAUCAUCGAAAUGUACAAACAGUUAGUUGUGAAGAGCAAUUUUGACCCAGAGCAAUUUUCAUGCUUCUGUGAAGGAAAAAAAAGGGAGCAAAAGAGACCUUCAAUGCGAUUGAUAUCAGAAGGGUUGAUAGGAGCAGCUAACAUUUUAACGCACACGUCAUUCUCUUUCACUUCCACCGGCGGUAACUCUAUCAUUCUGCAAAUUCAAUUCAACACCAAAUAUGUAAUUACACUACUCAUUCAUUCACCACUAUAACUAACUAUACUCAUACUUCUAUAACAUAUAUCUUUCGGCGGCGUACUUGAUGACUGAGUCGGGCGGGCCCUCCCGCUCGUAGACGACAGCCUUUGACGGCGGCGACAUUAGAGCCGAGAAGGCCCGAACUCGUUGGGCUUGGACCCGACGAGCACGGGCCCAUUCGAUACUUGCUGCUGAAAUUGAUCUGUUUAUCAGUUUUAGCGCCACUGAUCUUGCCAAUGCCAUCUUUGAUCUUUCCAGUUUGGUUAGCGCAGGCAAAGUUGCUCGUGUCAAUGAGUGCAUCUCUAGCACCAAAAAACGAUGUCGUUCUGGGGUUUCCAAAAUCCAUCGACGCCUUGUUUCUAUAUUUAUCAACUGGCCAGGCAGGGCCGAUCCGGGCCUGUCAUUAUACUAGGCCCAGCCUCCCGGUCGGCCGUCAAUUUAUUUAUUUAUUUAUUUUUUUGUUUCAUCUUUUGAAAAUUCUUAAACUUAUUCAAGUCGGGUCGGAUAAAUUGACCACUCCUGAUUUUCCAUCCGAACUCAGGCCCUCAAAAAGUCAUACUAGCACAAACUCAAGUGGCGUCCAGCCGCCACUCGUAAUUAAAACGUCAUAAAGACGUUCAAUUGUUUGUAUUAUAUAAGUCAAUUUUAUUUACCCCCUAAACCCUCAAAAAGUUAAAAAUAAAUAAAAUAAAUGAUUUUUCACAAGGCAGUUUUAACAAAGAGAAAACUUUUUUUUUUUUUUUCAUUUCGAUUGCUUUGAUAAAAAGUUGAUAUGAUAUCGUGUUAUCUUUUCAAUUAUAAUCAAUCAUGGGGCAUUUGACUAUGAUGGUUAAAAUCUAAUGAACUAAGAAUUUUAAGUUAUUAAAAAUAUCGGUUUGACUUUUCUGAUUGUUGAAACAAAUUUCAAGAUGUGGUUGAUUUUACUAACAAUAAGAAAAGCAGCAGAUCACAGAUCUGUUGCGUUAUCUAAAAAAUUCAAGACAAAUGAAAGAAUUUUUAGAGACUCAAAAUCCUUCAUACUCCUAAAUAUUGUAAUGUCAUUGCACACUCUCUAAGUAAGUCAGUCUUAGAAAGGUGUGAAAUUAUUGUGUGCCUUCAAUCCUUUCCAGUGAAAAAAUUAAUUAAUUAAUUUUGUUGAAUUAAUGAAAGUUUUAUUUUUUAUUUUUUUAAAAAAUAUAAUAUUAAGAUAAUGACGUACUUAUAAGGUUUUGUUUUCAAAUAAUAUAUCAUAUGACGAUUUAUUUAUUAAUAAUUAAUGAUAAAAUAAAUAAUAAAAAAACAACUCUUAUCUAACACAUGGUAGUUACUAAUUAGUGAUAAGAUUAUUUUGUAUUCUAAUUUGUAAGUAUAUUAGUAAUACCAACAAUAUAUAUCUGAUAACAUUCAUUUACUCAAAUCUUCAUUUGUUCUUUUAAUAAAAUUUAAGUUUAACUCUUAUUUUUGCCCCUUUUUUUAUUUUUUAAAGGAUUCUUGCUCUCCCUAUAAAUAAAAUGCAAACAAAUUCAAAAUUCUCUCUUCUGAACAUAAGAAGAGGGGAUUCAUGGAAGGGGCAAAGCGGAUAAGAACAGUGUGCAUUGUGUAUAUGAAAGCAUAAAGGGCAAAAAAUUAAAAAAGAAAAAGAAAAAAAAAUGUAAAACUGAACCGAAAAAAGAAAAAAAAAAGUUAUAUAAUACAUGGAUAAGGCUCACUGCUUAUGGCGAGCUUGCAUGCAAGUAGUUAUUUAAAAAAGAAAGAAAUUGUUGCCAUCUAAAGUUCAGAUAAAGGGGUAUUGUUGUCAAUACAGCAGGCCACGCGAAGCGACGCCGUCUUUACAGCUAAUGGUAUCCGUAUAUCCCCUGAUGUUCGCAAAUGAAGACCUAUACCUUCACGCGCAAUGAGCCACGUGUCCGUCUCUGGAUCUUGAAGAUCGUUUAAGAUUCGCGCUUGAACUCUUAACUCCCAGCUUUUGAUUUUGUCCAUGUCAGCAUUCAUCAAAGGUUCAAAGUUAUCCACAUUAAUGGGCCACUUCCUACGUGGCUUCUGAGCCCUCCACACCUCCAUUUGUUACACGUCAGCAAAAUAAUAUCUUCCUUCUCCCACUUCAACAUUUGCUUCCUCAGAUUCUUUUAACACUGCAUUUUAUUUCUCGCAACCAGCAAUAUCAAGAGAAAGGGGGAAAAAAAAAAAAUAGAGUUCCUAAUAAUUAAGAUUUGAUAAAUGGUGGCUUGAUCUUAUUCUCUGGAUAAAGAGUGAAGGUUCCGUUUUUUCUUAAUUAUUUUCUAUUUUGUUCAUUUAUAUAAAAUGUUUAUAUUAUAUUAUACUAUUAGUUUUUGCUUUAAAAAGUCUGUUGUUGUCUUCUUUAAUAUUAUGUUUGCAAGAUGAGAAAAAGGUAUUGAGAGGAGACAAUUUUGAAUGAUUUGGAUCUAAGUUUCUUUCGAUGAGUUCAUUUUCAUAGGUUCUGUUUUGUGAGUAACCUAACAGUGGUCUGUAAACACUUCUCAUGUGGAUUCCGUUGCAUAUUUUAAAAUAACAGAUUAUUUUCUCUUCUGUUUGAUUGGAUAUUAAUAUCAUUAUUUUUGUUUUUAUUAUUAGUAUUAUUAGUUUGUUUGUUUGUUUCAUUAUUUUAUUGUGUUGAUGGUAGAUUCUGGGUUUGAGUUGUUUCUGAGUAAAUAGUUAUAGAUGGAAUUUGAGUUAAGAUGAGUUAGGAUUACAUUUUCUCUCUACGUAUUGAAAGUAUUCGUAAUUGUUUCCUUUUAUUAGAGAUUGCAUUGAAGUUGUAUGCUUUCUACAGAUAUCCAAAGUUGAUAAUCCUGGAUUAUUUACACUUUACAAAUUUUAACUUAAAAUCUGAGUACUGAUUUUCUGUUUCGAGUAUUGUAAAAAAGUGUCUGGAUUUCCUGAUGUGCAAUGUGCAAGUGAUUUUGAGGGUUUCGUUUUACUAUUAGUAGUUUUAAGGAGAGUCUUGAGUUUGCUUGUAGGUGUCUGCUUAUUGAAAUUUUCUGCUUUGUGUUUGCAGAGUUUGGUUCUGUGGACAACAUAAAAUACAAACAUGGUAGAUUGAACAAAGGGUAUCCUGUACUGUUUUUAUUGAAUUUGGUUUAUAUAGUGGGCUGGUAAUCCUAAACGGCAGUAUGUGUUAUGAGCAAAAGGAAGUUGGGAAUGGAGUGGCUGGUGAGGGUCAUGGUCUGGGCUCAUCAGAGGAAGAUGAGUCAAGGGUUGACGAUGCUGUUAACUCAAACAAUGGGCCUGGUGGAACAAUUCAGGUCCAUGAUGGUUUCCAGAUAUCACAACAACAACAACCUCAAGGUUCUGUGAUACGUUGGGAGAGGUUUCUGCCUACUAGGUCGUUGAAGGUUCUUCUAGUGGAAAAUGAUGAUUCAACUCGCCAUGUUGUCAGCGCUCUGCUGCGGAAUUGCAGUUAUGAAGGUUAUCUGUGUUUCAAUCUAUGGAAAUCAAUUAGUACCAUUUAAUAACAGAGAAUCAAUCUCAAGAAUAUGUUUAAUAUGGUAUAGAUUUUUUUGUUAGAAUUUGAUUUCAUAGCUUCAUUCUUUUCAACUUACAAUCCCAAGUAGAGGAGUGUGGCUUAACUGCUGUUUACCGUGCCAACUAGGGAGGGGCAACUCUUUCUCAUAUUUUACCUUCUAAUCAUAUCACUUAAAAGAAUGGAUACACAUGUGAUGGAUGUCUUCUUCCAUAGAUGAUCUUGUUUGGUAGGGAUAUAUAAUUAUUGAAUAAUAAGAAAUUACAAUCAUUCCUUUUCCAGAUACUUCACUUAAUUAUACUCCUCAGAAUCUAAGUCUGUAGUAAAUAGAUAGUGAAAUCAAAGUUGUAGACUUGUAUCCUCAUCUGAAGUGCGACCUUAGGUCAAUAUGGAUUGAGCUGCAUCAGACAACUUUUCCUUACCUCUGUUUAUUUGUGAAAACUUAUACUUUGAUCUGGUCUUGCAGUUACUGCUGUUGCAAACAGCCUUCAUGCAUGGAAGAUUCUUGAAGAUCUUACUAAUCAUAUUGAUAUUGUUCUAACGGAGGUAGACAUGCCUGUUGUAUCAGGAAUUGGUCUUUUAUGCAAAAUUAUGACGCAUAAAACUCUAAAAAACAUUCCAGUGAUAAGUAAGUAUCAUUCGCUACUCCUUUCCUUGUUGAUAUUCAUGAAAUGCAAGGUCAAUUUUCCUAUGAAUAUUGCAAGCUUGAUGCAUUUAGUUACCUUGAUAUCUGAUAAGAUGUGUUCGCAGUGAUGUCACCUAAAGAUUCUAUGGGCAUAGUCUUUAAGUGUUUAUCAAAAGGUGCGGUCGAUUUUUUAGUGAAACCGAUAAGGAAGAAUGAACUUAAAAAUCUCUGGCAGCAUGUUUGGAGGAGAUGCCACAGUGUGAGUUCCUCUGAAUUUCUGCUUUAGACGUGUAAUUACAUGUUAUGAACCCCGGUUUUCAAUCAGAUACUGUUGGUCAAGUCUGUAGGUUACUUGGAAGUUAAGUUAUUCCUUAACUUGGAAGUAUUAAUGCACCAUAUUUUGCUGUAAGGUUCAUUUCCUAUUAUACAUACAGAUUCCAAUUGCAAAGUUUUCUGUUUUAAGCAAGUUUAAUUUCAUGGUCUCAUGUAUCUUACCUUUGAUCAGUAUCAUCUUUCAGUUGAUUGAAGGACAAUGAAUGUUAGAAUUUCCUUCUUGUCUUUGGACUAAUUUUUAACCUUUCACAGUCGAGUGGCAGUGGCAGUGGCAGUGGUAGUGAAAGUGGAACACAGACUAAAAAAUCGGCAAAGUCAAAAAGUAACAACGGCUCUGAAAAUGAUAGCAGCAGCGGUGAUGAGCUUGAGAAUGGGAGUAAUGGUCUGAGUAUUCGAGAUGGAAGUGACAAUGGGAGUGGCACUCAGGUGAUUUUAUAUGGGUCUUUGAAUGUUAUGUAGCUUGAAUACAUUUGGUGUAUGCAAUUAUAUAACUUUUGAAUGGUUAUAAAAAGUGUGUUUUAAUGGAAAAUAUGCAUAAUAUCAAUUACUUAGCCAGAAAAAGGGGUAGAGCAUGCGAGAAGUGGUAUAUGUAUUAAUACUCUCUUGUGGCUAUAAAUAUUAAAGUAGCUGUGCAAAUGCAUAAGUAAUAUCACAGCUUUCUGUUCAUUGGUGAGAGAAGCUCCCCUUGUAUGAAUUUCUAGAGUCACUUUCUCUGUUUCUGCUGAAUUUCCUUAAUACUUGACAUCAUCAACAAAAUUCCAUGCUAUGAUAUGUCUCUAAGCAAAGGUUUCUUAUUAUCAAUUUAUAAGCAACUGUAUUCAAGGAUAAUUUAUGAAAAUAAAAUGUUAAUUGAGAUGACCUAAAUCAAGAAAAAUCUGGAACAGAGACAUAAAAUUUAAUGCUUUUCGGACUUUGUGGCUGCCUUAUCUAUAAAUAGAAUGUAAAUUUUGACUGAUGACAGAAGUCAGAUGUGAUAAUUCAUUUAUUUUGCAGAGUUCAUGGACCAAAAAGGCAGCUGAAGUCGACAGCCCCCAACCAAUAUCACCCCGGUAUCAAUCGGCUGAUGAUAGCAUUUGUGCCCAGGUGAUUCAUACUAAGCCUGAAUCAUUUAGCAAUGGGUGGGUGCAUCUUAAUGAACCAAAAGAUGGUCUUGAGCAGGAUGAACAACCUGGUAUCUAUCUGUUUUUGCUCCUCUGUGGUACCCUUGGUUGGAUCUUUUUAUUUUUUAUUUUUAAUUAUUAUUAUUAUUAUUAUAUGCUUUCUGGUAAUUGUAAAUGUGUCUUAUGUUUAAGAUGGUGUUGCAAUGCACAAAGGAUUGGAAAUGCAAGUAUCUGAAAAUGCAGAUUUAAAAUGUGAUUGUCAACAUGAGAAGAAAUCUACGCAGCAAACUAGCAAAAAGAAGAUUAAAUUGCCGGAAGUAGAUAGUAAGCCAUUUGAUAAUAAGCAACUGGAGGUUGACAAUGAAAAUAUAUGUGGCAAACGAAGAGAUCAGGCUACUAGCACAUCAAGUGCAAACGCCAAUCAUGCUAAUCCCCAUGCUGAAAUCAGAGAUUUUGACACUCCAAGUGGCCCUUCUGAUAUAUCACUUGUCAAAGAAACACCAUGCCUGGAACUAACUUUGAAAAGGAUGCAAGGAGUGGAAGAUGAUCAAAGUGCUGCAAAUGAAGAUUGCAAUGUGUUGAGACAUUCAAUUUUUUCUGCAUUCUCAAAGUAUGAUUUGAACUUGAAGGCUCUAAACUUUAGGGUUUUUAGCAAAUUAAAAUGAGCCUAAAACUUUUAUUUUCUUCUCUUUUUAUUUUUUUUCCUUCUUUUGGAACUUGAAUAUGCAGAUACAAUACUGCGUCUUCAGCAAAUCAGGUAAUGAUCUACCCCUUUGGACUGUGGAAUCCUAAGACUUUUGGCAUAGCUCUCAUAUGUUGUUGCAUUUACUUAUGCUUAUAUCUAUGCAACCAUUAAGAUGUUGAUGGCAUUAUGUCAAGUCACUACAAAUCUUGGGCAAAAGGACACCAAUGAAUCACGGGUGUGCCUUAUAUUCUUCACUGAGGGGAAAAAAAUGCAUAACCUCAUCAUAAUAUGGCUUCUUCACCAAUAAAAACCAGCAUCACCUGCAUCAUACAAUGGCUUGCAGCUAUUGGCAAGCAGCUGAUAUUAACAAUGAUGGGAGGAAAGCACAAGUGCAGAAUGGCAAGACCCUUGUUUUCUUUCCAGUCUAAUAGUUGUACCUCUGUCAUCCAGGGUCUCACUGGGAAUGUAGGAAGCUGUUCUCCUCUAGAUAACAGCUCUGUGGCAAUGAAGACAGAAACAAUGCAAAAUUUUCCAUCUCAUUCGAAUGGCACUCCUCUCAAUCGGCAGUCUAAUGGGAGCAGCAACAACAACGACAUGGCCUCCACUGCUAAAUAUGUUACCCUCAAGCCCGAAGCUUUAAACGAUAAGUCAGAGUCAAUAUCAGCAUUCAAACCUUUUCACUCUUCUGCUUUCCAAGCUCUGCAGAAUAGCCGUAGUUGUUCAUCUCAACAAGUGUUACCUGAAAAGACAGAUGACAUGGGACCGAACUCGUGUCAAUCACAAUUGAGAGGGUCACACCAUUCAGUUCAAGCAGAGAAUCACCACCACCACCACCACCACCACCAUCAUUAUCAUCAGCAUGGUCACAGCAUGCAUCUCCAUCAGUCCCCACAGGACCAUGAUGAUCUCUCGUCCAAGGCUAUGGCAGCUGCAGCUCCACAGUGUGGGUCAUCAAAUGUAUUUGAGAGCAACAAUGAUGGUGAUGUUGGAAAUUAUGAUGUGAACGGCCGUAUCUGUUCAUCUCAACCGCUUUUACCUGAAAAGACGGAUGAUAUGGGACUUAACUCAGGUCAAUCACAAUUGAGAGGGUCACACCAUUCAGUUCAAGUGGAGAAUCACCACCACCACUACCACCGUCAUUAUCAUCAGCACGACCACAACAUGCAGCAGUCACCACAGGACUGUGAUGAUGUCUCGUUCAAGAAUAUGGUAGCUGCAGCUCCACAGUGUGGGUCAUCAAAUGUAUUUGAGAGUACCAAUGAAGGUAAUGCUGGAAAUUAUAGUGUGAAUGGGAGUGCCUCGGGGAGUAACCACGGCAGCAAUGGACAAAAUGGAAGCAGCACUGCCUUGAAUGCUGGAGUAACAAAUUUGGACAGUGACAAUGGGGCAGCAGGAAAUAGUGGAGUUGGUGGCAUAACUGAAAGAAUCAGUGGAAAUGUGGUAGAUGAAGUUUGGGUUGCUCAGAGAGAAGCUGCCUUGACUAAAUUUCGCCAGAAAAGGAAAGAAAGGUGUUUCGGGAAGAGGGUAACUUUCUUUCUUUGCUUAUGUUUUUACUUGGCUGCUAAGGAUGGUUUAUGUAGAGACUCUGUCCUGCUGGGUAGUUUUAAUUGCCAUUGUAAAUUUAAGGUUUGCUGCUGAUGUUUGAAGCAUUUGUUGCCAAAUGGGAAAAAAUAUUGAAUAUUAAAACACGAAAUUAUCAAAGUUUAUCUCGUAGUGGUGAACCACAUCUCCAAGUGUUCACCACAUACAGGAUUAUAAAAAGUUUUUGUUAUUAGUACCUCUGAUCUCCAUUUCCUUGGCACCUUGUGGUCUAAUCUUAAGAUUUAUUUUUAGAAGACCUACUAUGAACUUUUCAUUAAGCUGAUAGAUAUUCUUCCUUUGGGAAUAUAAUGCUUUUGUGACUAGUAUUGUUGAAUCCAGCCCUGUGAUUAUUUUGAACUCAAGAGACUUUUUCCUACAGAUGAUUUAAAACUUUGAUUUUGUUGGGAAACAGCUUUUUCAUGCUUGCUUUUGAUAUCUAAACUAUAGUUAUUUGACAAAACUAGCUUUUCUUCUGUUCUGUUUUCAGGUUCGAUAUCAAAGCCGGAAAAAAUUGGCAGAACAAAGGCCACGUGUCAGGGGACAGUUUGUUCGACAACUACCGUAUGAUGCUGAUAUGCAUUUUGUUAAUGUUAUCAUCCCUUGUUUUUCAUAAAAUAUGUUUUGAUUGUAUUUUCUUUCAGGUCAGAUGCCAAUUCAGGAAAAGAUACCGCAAGCAACGGCCAUACCUCUGAAGACAAUUCUAGUGACAAUCUAAGAUAACAUUGUGGCAGUGCGGCAGAUUUUUAAAAUCAACCGUUAGUCCCUGAUAGAUCAUGUGAAUUUGUGUACAUUAGAUUAGCAUUAACUGUUCAUGGUGGGAAUGGGUUGUCUUAAAUUCUUAAUUUGGGACUGGGUUGGAGAUAUUUUGUAGGCGCAUUUGAUCAAUUUGAAACGAAUUUUACGGAACCAUGGUUCUGCCUUGAUGGUUGUAAACUUUUAUGAACUCACUUAAGAGUUUCUUGAAUGGAUUAAACUCUAAAAGCGUAAACAAUAAAUCUCUGUUGCUUCUUCUGUUAUUUUUAUUUGGUUUACUAUUAAAAUUUUAUAUUUGCUUGUUUGUUACUGAAGUUGAUCUGAUGGAAGUUUUCAGUUUUGUCCCGUCGUGUGGUUGCUUCUCAGAUCUUGUUUGGUUCUUGGGAUUUAACUUUGGGGUAACAACAAGGCCUGCCCUAAUGGACAAUUAACACUUAGGCUGCAAUGUUUAGGUACCAACAGAGAAGUAUUCCAUACGUCAAACAAACCUAGUAGUAAGAAAUCUUAUCUAUGAAACCGUUUAUCCGCAUUAUUGACCAAUUACUUCGUUUCAUGAGAGCAACUGAGCAGUAAUACUAAAGACUAAAGUAGUGUCUUCUUCUUGCUCUUCUCUUCUUCUUUUUUUUUUCUUUUUUCUUCCCUCCCUUGCAAUUACAGUGUACGGUUUGGGGUGGAGAUCCAACCAGCAACAUAACUAAACAAUACACUCAGUUCAAGUAAGAUCUACUUCACACCUACAAAUAAACAUUUAUACGAACAUGUGUUCCUUAUAAUGACUUAAACUUCUCUCUUUUGUGACCGAAAAAGAGUCUUUUAAACCCUCCACCCUUCCAAUGACAACGUGGGGGCAAGUAUAGACCAAGACAAGCGCAUGCGGCCCCAAAAGUCAAAAAAGAAAAUAAAAGAUUUAUAUGAUCCCAUACCCAGAGUGUCGGUGCCUUUUGUUUUCUAUUGAGACUAAGCAAGAAAAAGAUACAACAUGACACAGCUUUUCACAACAAUUACUUUCUUAAAGUAGUGUUGGUUGAUAUAAUGGAGUCUUGACAUGAUUGUUCAACCAAAGCUCUUGAACUUUCAAUGCAGGCGUGUGUACGUACAUGUGCAUGAGUCCCAAAACAAGAGUGCAGCAAGCAAAAGCUGAAGAGUAAUGAAAGCACUUCCGGCUGUUGCCUGUUGCCUGGUGCCUGAUAAGGAUGGGAAUGUGUCGAAUGAGUUUUCAACUAUUCGGAAAAGGAAUUUGGUGGAAUUUGGAUGCGGACUUGUCGACACACCGAGUUCUUGGGCAGUUAAAAUAAUGACUAAAUCAAUAAAACAUUACUGCAAAGUCAUAAGCAGCUAUAAAUCUUUCUGACAUGCAACGAAUGGCUACAAUCCGCGUAUCUGCCAGCUUGCUACCAACGUUGAAAGACAGUUCUUUGCGAGAUAAGAAAUACCAUUAAUAUUCAAAACAGGUCCCCUACUGCUGCUUCAUGGAAGCUAUCAGUAAGCAUGAUGGUGCAUAAAAAUUUAUCUUGGAUAUUUUUUAAUAAAAUUAUAGUUAUUCGAUAUGUCAAUUGUAAUGAAUCUUUGUCCACACAUAGAAAAAGAGGACAUAAAUUACGUGAUACAUCUAUUUCACUUUAAAUUUUUAUCUUACCUUUUUUAUGUUCUUCCUUAUUUUCAUUUUUUUUUUCUUAUGAGUUAUAUGGAUUAUUAAAAUUGUACGUCUCUUAAAAGUAAACAUGGAUGAUUGGGUCAAACAUAUAUUCACAUCAAUGUAAUAAAUUCAUGUCACGUUUAUCAAAUUUUUCUCUUAUAUAUCAUGAUAUUGUUAUGUAUGUUGGCAGAGAAAAUCUUAUAUAAGACAAUUUUAAUAAAAUCAUGAUAAUUCAAUCAGUCAUUUGUAAUAAAUCUUUGCCCACAUAGAGAAGAAAAUAUGUAAAUUACGUGAUACAUCUAUUUCAUUUAAAUUUUUAUCUUACUUUUGAUGUUCUUCUCUUUUAUUUACUUAUUAUUAUUUUUUUUAGUAUGAGUUACCAAAAUUUUACAUCUCUUAAAAAUAGACAUGGAUUAUUAGGUCAAACAUGUUCGCGCGUCAAUAUAAUAAAAUCAUGUCGCGUUUAUCAAAUUUUUCUCUAACAUAUCACAAUCACAAUCACACUUGGUUAAUUUCAUUAUAAAUUGAUCGAUAAUGUGGUAUGGCACUACACUUAACUGUCUAAUUAUUUUCAAAUAUAAGUAUCAGCCAUUUAAUGUGUUUUAACGGUUUAAAAUAAGUGUAUGCCCUAAUUUAAUUUGACUCGUCGUUAAUUGGAUAAUGCAAUUUUUAUAAUUUCAUUUCAAUUUAGUUUGAUGUCAAAAUCUAAGUUAUGAAUUUGAAUUGUCUUCCGGUAAAACAGUUGAAUAAUUUCACAACAAAUGCUCAGAUCAUGAAGAAUGUGGCAUGUAAAAAUCUCGGUUAUGAAUUUGGGAUGUCCUCUGCACCCACGGAACAUAUUAAAAUCUAAAUUGCAUGAGAUCACCACUCAUUAAAUGUAUAUAAUAAAAUAUAAUUUGAUCCGAUUAGUCAUCAAAAAUCAAUUCAAAAUCUCGUAACUCGAUCACUAGAAAGUAUAUUUUCAAAGAUUAUUUAUUCUCUACGACUAGCUUAAUUGGGAUUUCUUUUUUUAAAAAAAAUAUUCAGAUAAGACGACGCGUGCAUACUUAUUUUUUUGUCUCAUCAAGACAUAAAAUCUCUGUGCCUAUCAGAUUGUCAUUUUAAUAUUAUUAACUGUCGAAGAAAAUUAAAAAGAAAAAUAUUGUUCAUAAGGCUUUGAUAAGAAAGGCAUCCCAAAAAGCACAAGCAUCUCAUUACCUCUAUCAUUCUCUCAACAAAAUGAGUCAAUAAAAUGGGUUUCUGACACGUGUUCAUCUAGGGUCUUAUUCUAAUUUCAGACAUUUACCGACAUGUGCCGUUUUGCACAAGUGGAAUCGUGGAACUUUCUGGAUCAAUCAUUGAAUUAUAAUACUGUUUUUGGUGCGCCCAACGUGCAAACCUUGGAAUGGACUUGAUGGAAUUUUGAACACGCAAGUAAAUAAAAUAAUAAAGCUUUUUGAUUCUAUACUGCUGUUUGUAUUUAUCACUUUACCGAAAAAAGGGAGCCCACCCAUCAAACAAACCCACUAUAAUAAUUGUCCCUCUGUUGGCUAUUAUUUUUGCAUUACGUUGUCUUUUUACUUUUUGGCUACUUCGGACUUUUAUUUGAAUAUGGAUAUGCUUGAAUCUUAAGCUCAGAUUUUGUUAGAUUUGGCUGGAAAAUAAGUUUCUUAAAUUGCUGAUGAAAGAACAAAUCCACUUAUAUAAAAGUGAGAAAGUGGAAUAAUGAGUCGAUAAAGUCGAGUAAUUGCAAUGACCAGAGGGCAAGUGAUGGCCAAUGAAAGAUUUGGACUCAUAUGUGUUGAUGAAACCCUAAUUCAAUUGCCAUUUAUCCUACAUGACAUUGUUUUUUCGGUUAAUCAAGUUAUUAAUAAAGCAAUACCUUGAAGUUGAGCUUGGGAACCGAGGAGUUGGAGUCAUACGUGUGAAUUUAUGAGGUUUAAUCUUUUUCUAAAAUAUUUGAAAUUCCUUUCAAAAAAAAUUGAAAUUGAAUUUAAUAUAUUCUUAUUAAAUAUCUAGACGGCACCAUCACAAAAUUGAUUUAAGAGAUUUAAAAUUUCUUUGUAUUAUAGUUAUUUAUUCUUUCUAUGGAAAAAAUGUAAAAUUUGCUUUAUAAAUUAUUUUUUAUUUGAGAUAGUAUUAGGUGGUGUUGACAUCACUUAAGUAUUAGGUAAAAUUCUAUUAAACACACAGACAUAAAUUGAUUGAUAUAGAUAACAUCUAAUAGCAUUACCUAAAGGCUCUUCAAAUGAGACUUUAUUUUACUUCUCAUUUGAAGAACUACAUAUGUAAAAAGAAUUUUAAAAAACUCUUUAAAUGAGAUUAUCCUUUUCAUUUGAAUAAUCAUAUUGAAGAGAGAGAUUUUAAAAAAAGAGAGAGGACAACCUCAUUUGAAGACUUUUUUAGAGUCUUUAAUUUAGUAUUAUAUUAUUUUUUAUCUCAUCAUUCUUAAAGAUAGAGAAGUAGGCUUGGUAAUAGGUUGUAUUUGAGUGAUUUUGUCUUGUGUUAAACUAAAUAUAUCUAAAUCCAUCCAUUAAUUUAUGGGUAAAAAAAUAUAAAUAUAAACCUAUUCGUUAACCAUUAUCAAGUACUCGAACGGAUCCAUUCAACCCGCUCCUUUUAAUGAAUUGUUAUAUAUUUUUAGUUUAAAACACAUAACACUUCGCAAAAAAAGCAUUUCAAACAUAUAAUACCAAACGAAAGAAAAUCUUAAUAUUUUUCAUUUUUAACACGAUAUAAUAAUAUAGUAUAAAAAAAUCAAUAAUUUAGUUCUAGGCGCCACACUAUUAUCAGCUAUUAAAAUCUUAGAAGGGAAAAAAAUUGUUGAAAAAAAUUUUAAAUUUUUGUUACUAGGAAAAAUCGAACAAUGAGUCAAAUAUGAGUUGAUGACUUCAAGUUUUACAAUAAAUACCUAGGUUUAGAGUUUGUGAUGACUUUAUAUUAGUCUUUUUUUUUUGCAUGUAAUAUUAAAAAAUUUAAUUUACUUUUUCUUUAGUAAUCUAUAAUUUAAGUUAUUAAAUUUAUUAAACUAAAGGUAUUAAGUGUUAAUACAUUGGGUGAAAUGAAUUUGAUGGUUAAAUCCAAAUCCGACACUUUAUGAAAUGAGUUUUAAUAACUUAACCCAUUAGCUACCCAAACCGAUAAAAAUGACUCAAUAGUCAUUUUUAUCAUAUGGGUUCGUGUCUUGUUAGCAGAUCGUAUUAAAUUUUAUCAAGCCUAAAUAUAUAUUUUUUAAUUUUCUCUUUUUAAAGAUUAAUAUAUUUUCUUAUAUUAACUUCACAUUCAAGAUAAUUAGAUCAUUAUCAAACGACUCUUUUUAUUUUUCUCUUUAAAUACUUAUUUACUUACUCAUAUGAAUGAAAGAAUGAAAAAAUAAGCAUUUUCCCAAAAGACUUUUGUCUUUUUAAAUAAAAAUAAGUUUGUAUUAUUUUAGUCAAAAUUUUUUCCUCCAUCACAAUAAAGCAAUUAGCUCUACUGAUUUGUAAUCUCUGCAAGUUCGAUAAAAUUAUGAUUUCUCCUAGGGUAAUUUUUAAAAACCUCCCCUGAGGUUUUGACUUGUUGCAAGUAGAUGGCGAGAAUUGAUUUAUUUGUAAAAAAUCCCCUACCGUCAGUUAAGUUUUACAUUGACCGUUAGUUGACCGUGCAAAGACAAUAUUACCCUUAACAAUAGUUUAUAAACGAAAAUAAUUAAAAAAACUAAAAUUAUUAGCUAUUUUACACUUUUUAAAUUAUUAAUAUUUUCUUAAAGUUCUUAUAAAAAAUUAAAAUUAAAAAAUCCUCUUUAAAUUAUUGAUAUUUCCUUAAAAUUCUUACAAGAAAGAUAAAAUUUAAAAUUUAAAAAUGAAAUAGUCAUAAUCUUUACCUAUAAUAUUGUAAAUUUUUAAAAUUGACAAGGAUAAAAUUGUCAAAAAAUAAGGUUUGUGCUUUUUGCACCAAUAAUUUUAGUUUUUUUUUAGUUAUUUUUGUUUACAAACUAUUAUUAAGGGUAAUAUUAUCUUUGCACGGUUAACUAACGGUCAAUGUUAAACUUAACUGACGAUAGAAAAUUUUUUAUAAAUAAAUUAAUUCUCACCAUCUACUUGCAACAAGCCUAAACCUCAGGGGAGAUUUUUAAAAAUUACCCUUUCUCCUAUUAAGUUUUCUUUUUUAACCUUCCAUGCUUUCCAAUAGUAAUUUUAUACUCUCAAAUGAGCAAAAAUUGUUAGUGGAAAAAGAAAUAAUCUCAUGAAAAGUUGCUAUUAAAGUUCCACUGACGGUGCAAAAAAGAAGUGGUCAUAAAUUAAGGGGAAUUAAAUCGCCUGACAAUUUUCCAAAUUUAUAUGGCAAUAGUUUUAAAAAGUACAAAAACUAAUGGCCGUUAAUAACGGCGUGCCGAGUCAAAAAAUACUCUUCAGAACUAAUGAAUGUCAGCACGCCAUUGGAAGGAAUUUUAACUCUUUAAUUGCGUAUUUAAUGGCGGCGUUGGCUGCGCGUGGAUCACCGUUCCCAGUAUUAAUGUGAAAGCGCGUAGGACACGUUGGGUCCCACGUCUUGGGGAAAAAAUCAAAGCGGGUCCCACCCGAUUUUCACCGCGUUGACUUUAAAGUUCAGAAUGUGGUGAAUGCCCUCCGCUGUGCAUGCGUUGCGUUCACGGGCGGGUAAAUACAAGACUAAAUGGAAAAUAGGGGAGGGCAAAUUUUGCUUCUAGAAAAGACAAAGAUCUGUUACAACCCCCACUUGCUCGCAGGAUCGGCGAGAUUCAAUCAGCGCUUGCCGCGUCACACACAUUACGGGUGUCAAACGCCUAAAGACAAAACAGCAUUUGUCUAAACUUACACCUACUCCGUAGCUUAUUUAAACGUCGAAACAACAAAUUGAUAAAGCACUCCUUGUAUUCAUGACGUGGAAGUUUCCAUUGGCUGGAAACAAAAAUAAAAGGAGUAGAGUAAAAUAGCAUAACUUAACCCACAAAACGUAAUAAAAGGAAAAAAAAAAAAAAAACUUGUUCAAAAACAGAGUGUAACUCUAGCUCGAGCUCGCUCGCUCUUUAAUGCUUCUCUCUUUUUCAGUUUUUUUUUUCUUUCUCAAUUUCUCUCAAAUUUUGAUUUUUGAUUUUUUUUGGUGUGUGUUUAAUGCUUGUUUGUGAAGUGGGGUGCUGGUUUAUGCGUCUGUUUAGCUGAGAAAGUGGAAGAAAACAAAAGUGAAAAUUUCUAAAGAGCAAAAGAAAAAAAGAGAGAUUUUUUUUUUCCUUUUUGAGUAUUAUGGGUUGUUUUCGUUGCAGUGGAAAAUCAAACAAAAAAUUAGAUGAAGAAAUCGACAACAAGAACAAGAAUUUAAACAAGCAAGCUGACAAAAAACAACUCAUUGCAGGUAUUGAACAGUUUCCCUUUUGAUCAAAAUCUUUCUGUUUUGAAGAAUUGAAACGCAUUGUGUUAAAUGAUGAUCUUUAAAAAAAAAAAAAAUUUUGGGUUGUUUUGGAAGCAUUUUGCUUACUUAUAUCUCACUCCUAUUUUCUGUGAUUAUCUUGACUUCCUUUCAAUCAAAAUUUUCGGUUGCAUGUUCUUUCUUAAGCCAAUAUAUUUUCUAGUAAAUGAUCAAGGGGUUUUUCUUUUUUAAUAAAUAUAAGUUAUCCAGGAAUUCAAACAUCUUUGAUAUUUCCAUCCCCCCCCCCCCCCCAAAAAANUCCAAAAAAAAGGUUCUUUGUAUUUCAUUUUUUAAAAUGUGCAAUUUUAAUUUGUCCACUAUUCAUAAUUUUAGUUUGUUUAUUUAUUUAUUGGGUUUACGGAGGUAAUGUUUUGUUGCUAAUCUCGUUUUGUUUUAUUUUGCAUGAUGGUAAAUUCCAAUCAAAUGAUUCAUAGCCCUAGUUGAGCUUUCAACUCUGUCCUUCUGUAUGUUGUUUGAUUGUGGUUUUUUUUUUUUUGGUAGAAAAAAAUGAUUUUCAUAUGGAAAUCAAUUUUGGGAUUUCGCCUUGACAUGUGCCUCAUCUUUUGUCGUUUCCUUUGUUCCCUUUCAUCAUCUUUGUGUUUUUUGAUUCAUGUAUUUUAGAUACACCAAGAGUUGAUUCGAAUGCCAACUUAAAGAAAGAGGAGGUCUCUAACGAUGGCCAAUUAUCUAUGGAUGUAAAUAACUUAAAUUUGAAAGAUGAUUCAAAUAACAGUGGCAAGAGCGCUAAGCCGUUCACAUUUGGUGAACUUGCGGCUGCUACCGGAAAUUUUAGGUCUGACUGUUGUUUGGGUGAAGGAGGUUUUGGGAAAGUGUACAAGGGAUACCUGGAGAAAAUCGAACAGGUUGGCUAAGUUCAUUUGAUUGAUACUGUUAAAAGUACAUAACAAGAUAAACUAUUGUAAUGAGUAGCUUAACUCAAGAUGCUGAAUAGUUUGUUGGGAAUUUUGAUUAGUGAAGUAAUCUCAAUUUGCCUAUUUGAUAGUGUUGAAGAAUUGAAGUGACUUGGGUAUAACGCCUUUUUUUUUGGCGGGGCUGCUGUACCGUACAUCCGCCUUGGCCGUACANNNNNUUUUUUUUGGGGGGGGGGGGGUUACUAUUUGUAGGUUGUCGCAAUCAAGCAACUUGAUCACCGUGGAGUUCAAGGAGUUAGGGAAUUUUCUGCUGAAGUGAUGACAUUGGGCUCUGCUGACCACCCUAAUCUUGUCAAAUUGAUUGGCUAUUGUGCUGAGGGUGAUCAGAGAUUAUUGGUUUAUGAGUAUAUGCCACUCGGAUCUUUGGAUAAACAUUUACAUGGUAUGCAAAAAUUUGAGAGUUUGCUUUGAAUGUCAUCUCAGCCAAUAUUCUCAUGGUUUUCAUUAAACCAUAAUAUUUAAUUGAUUAAUGUUUAAACAGAUCUUCGACCUGAUACAAGACCCCUUGAUUGGAAUACAAGGAUGAAAAUAGCAGCUGGCGCGUCGAGGGGCUUGCAGUACUUGCACGAACAACUGAAACAGCCUGUUAUAUAUCGUGAUCUGAAAUGCUCAAACAUUUUGCUUGAAGAAGGAUACCACCCCAAGUUAUCUGAUUUUGGCUUGGCCAAAAUGGGCCCUAGCGGAGACAAGACCCAUGUAUCUACGAGGGUUAUGGGCACAUAUGGUUACUGUGCGCCAGAUUAUGCAAUGACAGGCCAGCUGACUUUUAAAUCAGAUAUUUACAGCUUUGGGGUUGUUCUUUUGGAGCUCAUCACUGGCAGAAAAGCAAUUGAUCAAACAAAAGAUCGUAAGGAGCUAAAUCUGGUUGCAUGGGUAAGCUAAACUUUCAUUGCACUCUUUCCUAUUUAUAUAUCUGCGUAUUUAUUUGCAUUAGUCUUGCCUUUCGUUGUCCUUGUUUUUCUUACACCAAAUGUUGAUUGAACGUUGUUUUCCAUUCAUCAUUCGAAGCAGUUUUUCUGGAAUUGAUCAACCAUUAUUGAGCAAGAUUUAUCAUAAUUUUGCUCAAUUGAAGUGGCUCUUGUUCUUAAACUGUUCAUAUGUCAGUGAUGCUGAAACUAGGCGAUCAAAAUUUUUGUUUAUUCACUAAUUAUAUACGCAUUUGCUUUGCGUUUCCUGUCGAACGGCAUAAACCGAUUUUGAAAUCCUCUGUUUACAACUCAACUUUGAUAAUCACAGCAGGUAAUGUAGGAAUUCACAACGUUUUUGUGCAUGGGAAGCAUUAAAAAAAAAAUUCUUUUUUUUCGAGUUUAUCAAUAAAACAAGUGAUUACUUGUGGAGAUGAACUGCAAUACCGUGAUUCAAAUCUUGUUGGAGUUGUCUGUUCAUUCUUCCACAGUAAUGAUCAAUAAAUACUAAGGCAAGUAAACUGUCAGUUUUAAUUACUUUGUCCUGAUGACAGUUGCUGAGAAAGUAGCCUCCGUUUGCUUUUACCAUCACUGCUUAGAUGAUGCGAUCUGCACUUCUUAAGAUUGCUCUUUCUGUCCCUUCCGGCUCUUGACUUCUGCUGCCAUGGUUGGUAACAUCUCAAAUGUGCUUUCUUUCUGCAGUUUAUAGCAUUGAGUUCUGUUGUGUCUUUCACUUUUCUUCAUUUCAAUGUUGAGAUUGGUAUAAUGUUGUGACCAUAUUGAACCUGUUGCACUGACAUCUGAUCACUAGAAACAACAUUGCUUAUAGAUGAUUGAAGUAGACACUGUGAAAAUAACAUCAAUCCACAAGUAGUAUCUUUGAUUAAUUAAGAUGCUAAUCUGUCUUCAUCCAAUUUAUUUGCAGGCAAGGCCCAUGUUCAAAGACCGAAAUAACUUUUCCCAAAUGGUUGAUCCUUCACUUCAAGGUCAAUAUCCAGUAAGAGGCUUGUACCAAGCUCUUGCCAUAGCUGCUAUGUGUGUCCAGGAGCAGCCUAACAUGCGGCCAGCUAUAACUGAUGUUGUCAUGGCUUUAAAUUACCUUGCUUCCCAAAAGUAUGAUCCCCAAAACCCUCCCUCCCGGAGCUCCCGAAAAUCUCCAUCUUGUCUUGGAGUAAACAAGGACGACGAUCACGGAAAAAAUGCCAGGAGUGGGUCCAAUAGAGAGGAGGUCAAGUCAAGUGGUCAGUGCCUUUCCAAUGGUGUUAAUACAUAGGUAGUGCCUGGUUAUCAAAUUUUAUUGAGCAGGAGAUAACCGGUGCCACUAUACAGAAAGUUUGCCCUUUUCUUUUUCUUCCUUUAAUGUACAUGUCAGCUGAGGUUAUAAGACCCCUCAAUGUUAAACCAAAUUUUCGAUAAUAAUAGUUGAGCGUUAAUAUUCAUAGUAAUUGGUUUUUCUUCUUGUUGAUUUUGCUGUACUGCUUUGUUUUCAGCCAAAUGCAUAUGUUCUUGCACUUGUGACCAAAUUCUCCAAUCCAUAGCUGAUUUGUGGAACUAUAAUGGCUAUUCUUCGCGGACAAAGGACACGGGAUCACCAUUUCUUGACCAUUUUUGGGUUAAAUUCGUUUCCGGAAUUAAGUCAUUUGUUAGCCUAAAAAAUCAGCUACGUUGGCUCGUUCUACUCUUUAUUUUCUUUGGCCAAGUUAUUUAUUUAUUUUUUUAGAAAGUUUAUUACAGCCUACCGAUAUUAUAAUCAAAGGCAUACUAAGAGUAAAUUCUUAUUAUUAUAGGCAAAGGCAUACUAAUUAUUAUUAUUAUGGGUGGGUAAGAUGUAAAUAAAUUUAUUUCAAACUCAAACUCAAGUGGUCGACUAAAAUAUACUACUUGAAAACUAGGCAACAAACAUUUUACUUGCUUUUAAGAAAUAAAUGCAUACAUAUAUGUAUGUAUGUAUAUAUAUAUGUUUGUGUGUGAGUGUUAUUCUUUAGUGAAGACAACCUCGUUUUGUUAAAAUAAAUAUAUCAUUAACAACAUAUCAAUAUAUAUAUAUAUAUAUAUCAUUAACAAAAAAAAAAAACACAGUUUUCAAUGAUUGAAAUUUGUGUUUCUUUAUAUUUUAAUAACAUCCACACUUUGACAAAAUGAGAAUAUUCUCACUAAAAAAUGUCUACACACAUACGCGUGCGCACACACUCUCUCGAGUAAACUUUUUUAAAAAGUAAGUAUAUUACACAAAUCCAUGUAAGGCAAAUAAUAAUUAUUUUAAAGGAAAAUUAUCUCUGCAUUACCUCUAUUUUAUCAUAUAUACAUCUAAUUAUCACAAAAAUUUGACAUGUUAUUUACACUACCUUUGUUUCUUAAUUUUUAUCAAUCAAUCACUUUGACACUAAAAAUUUAAAUAAAAUGAUUUAAAUGAAUUAAAAGACCAUUUUAUCUUACAAAAUUUUUUAAAAUUAAAAAAAAUUAUAAUUACAAGAAUACCCCUGAAUUUAAUAAAAUAAAUAAAUCUCAAAAUUUGAUAUGUUAAUUUUUAUAAUUAUAUUUUUUUAUUAUUCAAAGUUGGUAAUUGUGAUUAUAUGAUUAAUACUAAACUUACUCAGUUAAGAUAUUUUGUUUGUAUUCUAACUAAUGAGACAUCAUAUGUGUCAUCCAAGCAUCUAUCAGUCAAUUUAAACAAUUUUGAUAAUUGUGAUUGUAUGAUUGAUAAAAAAGAAUAGAAAAAAAAAAUUCAAAUGAGUAUUACACGUUUUUUGAGUCAAAAGGAUUAAAAAAUCAAUUAUAUUUUAACAAUGAAUUAAAUGGUAAUUAUAAUUUUUUAUUUUUAAAAUUUUAAUAGGAUAAAAUAGUAUUUUAAUUCAUACAGGGGUAAAAUAAUUACUUUAUUUAAUUUUUAGCGUUAGAGUAGUUCAUUAAUACAAGUUUAAAAAUAAAGGUGGUGUAAAAAAUAUGUUAAAAUUUUGUGAUAGUUAGAUAUACAUAUAACGAUAUGUUGUAGAAAUAAUUCCCUAUUUUAAAAUAUAAAAUAUCGCGAAAAUCAACUCAUCUUAUGGGUAAAGUCUCUUCAGCUGAUAUAAGAAAGUUUGACAGCAUUUGCAUAGUAUUAAAAAAAAAAUUAAUAUUAAUAAUAAUAAUAAGGGAAAAGCACAUUCAACCCCUCAACAUUUAGGAAAAGGAACAAAAAACACCUCAACGUUUCAAAAAGGACUUAUAAUCCCCUUUUCGUUAACAAACACCGUUUGUUUUAACAGUAAAUUUAUUUUUAAUUUUUAAUUACUAUUAUACCCUUAUAAUAAAAAAUUAAUAUAUUAAUUUGAGAUAUAUCACAAUUAAUAAUUUUUAAAAGCUUAAAAUUGAGAUACAAUUAUUUUUUUGCCAAAAUUAUUUACUAUAAAUUAUACCUUUCUAAUGAUCAAACCUUUCAUAUGUGAUUAUUAUUAAUAAAACGAAAUUUGAUUAAACCCUUUUUCUUUGAGGAAUCAAAACCAUAUUAUUAUUGUUAGAAAGGUAUAAGUUAUAGCAAAUAAUUUUGGCAAAAAAAUAAUUGUAUCUCAAUUUUAAGUUUUAAAAAAAUUAUUAAUUAUAAUAGUAAUUAAAAAUUAAAAUAAAUUUACUGUUAAAACAAACGGUGUUUGUUAACAGAAAGGAGUUAUAAGUCUUUUUUGAAACGUUGAGAAGUUUUUUAUCACUUUUCCUAAACAUUGGGGGUUGAAUGUCCUUUUCCCUAAUAAUAAUAAAAAAUCUCAUCAAAGGCCAAAAUCAUGUGCGUAGCGCGUGGCAAUCCUGAUACAUUUCCCGCCUAAAGUCGUUGACAGGCUAGACGAACUGAACAAUCUGUAGCCAGAUACAAAACUCAUAUAAAGAUUAACUCAUCGCAAGAAAUAAGCACACCAGAAAGAAAAUCUAAUGAAUCCUCUGUUUCUUUCUAAUCUCAUUGACAAGAAAAAUCGAGCAACAUGGAUAAUGCAAUUUAUCUUCCCAUCUUUCGCCGUCCCAGCAACCCGUGUCGAUCCAAGGGCGAGAUUCCAGUUUCGCAGCCUCGAACAUCAUCUCCAUCAGCACACAAGUGGAUCCAUGCCGUUCCUGUCAUCAUAUUUCUCUCCUUCUUCAUUCUCUGGCACUUCUCUCAUCCAGGUACUUCAAUUUCUUGCCAAGAUUUCAAUAAUCCUCUUCUCAUUUUGAGAAAUUCUUGUGCUUGUUUAGUUACUUUCUUGAAUUUUUUGUUGCUUCAUUAAUUUGUUUGGUUUCUGUUAUUUGGCAUUCUUGUUUUUUUUGGUAACUUUGGAUUUUUUGUGCAUCCUUGCAAUCAAUGUUCGUUUUCUUUAAGCAAUUCCUUUUGUUCUUGUCUUGAAAAUCCUCUGUUUAGAUCUGUAGAUGAACAAGAAGACCGAUGUCCCUCUUUUACAAUGAUUGCAAUUUCUUUAUCUGACAAAAGAUUCUACAUUUUUGUUAUUGAAUGUACCAUAACUAGAUGUUUUGUUUAAUUACUUUCUGAAAGCAGUGAGUUUGGUAAUCAAGGAUGGCAGACUUGCAGAAAUUCAUCCUGUAGAGAUUCAUCAUCUCAAUGAUUCUUAUGUUGAACUGGCCAUCCUGGCAUCUGCUAACCUUGCCAAUUGACUCAAGUCCUCUGAGUCUGACUAGGAACAAUGGAACCGAAGCACUUCCAGUGAAAAAAAAUGAUGGAAGAGUCGUUGGUUUUGCAUGAUUAGAAGGUUUAACAUAUAUUUUUUUCUUGGGAAUAUUGUAGAAAAGAUCUCAAUUUGUUUGCUCCAGAUAAAUCAAUAGGAUGAGUAAUAAUGUAAUAGAUAGUUUCACGAGCUGCAAUUUUGUGCUUGUAUCAGUUUUGCAGAAAGCUGUAAUUUUGGUAGACUCAGCGUCAUGCGGGUUCAGAAUUUGCUUCACUGUGCUUUCUGGUGUAAAGAAUCUGAUCCAAAUGUAAAGCCUAUGAGUUCUGUUGAUUCUGCAGUUCAGUAAUCUCACUAUUCUUUGCACCUAUUCUGCUAUUCACCUCUAUACUCAUCGUUGUUCUGUUUCUUGAUGAUAAAACUCUACAACAAUCCCUCCUAUGCGACAGCAUAAAUCAAAUCAUGAUCUAAAUUAGUAAAAGCAUCAGCCAAAAAUGUUCCCUACACCAGAUGUAUGUACAAUCUUGAUGCACAAAAAGAAAUUAAAUCAUGCAUGUAUUUAUAUAUAUUACUUACAUUCUGCGAUCGGAGAGGGAUCUGGACAUUUCGAGACUACAAUGGUCUCAAUUCUUUCCAGUGACUCCGUUUUCCACAGACAGUACAUGUGGAUGGGGAGAUUUACGAGGAGAACGAAUCCCUACUGUUUGAUUAUGAUUGGUAUCUUGAUGGAAACUAACCACGUUCGUAUAAAAAGCAAAGGGUCUCUCAUAAGGCUGCCUGGCCACAGGCCUAGUGGUGAAUGCAUAUGCAAUGUAAUGAUCAUUUUUAUACCAAUUAAAAAAAAAAAAAUCUCCUUGAAGCCUCUUCAAGCUCUCUAGGAGAGAUCACUCUUGAGAUUUGAACCACAUAGCCCCAUAAGACCGAAAUGGACCAGGACCAUGCGUUGUCGGUCGUAGUAGAUUGACUGUUGCAUUAUGCUUGCUGAAUCGAGUUUCACCGAUUGAAGCAAGUGUUGAAGGGCUUUCACUCUGCUCAUGCCUGGAUAUAUCGGCCACACUACAUCUACGUGAUGAAUUGAUACCAACGGAGCCACAGGAUGUGCUCCUAGAAGCCCUAGUAGCUCUCCAUACACAUCAUACUGCACAAGCACAAGAGACAAAUUUUCACUUCAGUUCACCUAGCUUCCGAAAUCAAUUUAAUUUGCAUGUUGAACAUUAGUAUUAAAGCCGAGUCGUUUAGGACUCGUUUAUACUAGCUCCUGCUUCUUUCACACAACAGCUUUAGUGUUUGGUACAUAAUUAUAAAAAAUCAUGGUGAAUGGCGUCUCAUCAGUCGUACUAAGCCCACUUCACAAAAGACUAUAUAUUAAUUGUCACAACAACUCAAUCUCAAAUACCCAAAUGAGCCUUAAGACUCGUCGCUGCUUUUCAUUUUUUGUUUCAAAAGUAUAGAUCCAAUUGGCUAGUUAUGUAUACACCUUAUGUUCUAAGGACUUUAUCCUAAAGAGUUCUAUUCUUUUAGUUCGAAUUAAAAUUUUCAGAGUCUUAGGUACUCUUUGUACAUCCACGCUUUCCAAUAAUAUUCUUGUUACAUGCAUCUCUCGAACCAGAGGAGGGGGUAUACACAAGAGUAGUUUGUACCCAACCAUUUUUUAAUGAAGUUUAACCUGAUCAAAACCAUAACCCAAUGAAAACCAACUUCCUUAAGUGAGUGGCACCUGCAAGCUUAGACAUGCAAGCUUGAAUCCUAUCAUCACUGCCGUGCAAAGCCAGAAACCGCUGGAUGCAUCUGUAUUACAUCUUCUCCAAUUCCAUAGUCAACGGAUAAGUAACAGCAAAUCCACCCCGCCAUAUGCCAUUGCAUAAGAAAAAUAUAUAUAUUCUGAUUUUUCGGUAUGGCGCUCAGAUGAACUCCCAAUGCAAUAUAAUAAAACUGAGCAUAACCAUAUUUUGCAAGCACUCUCACCAAAUUCUCCACUAUGAAAAUUGUAUCAUCGUCGGCCAAAAACCAUCUCACAUCCUCCAAUCCGAACCUCAACAUCUCUGAAACGACCCGCGAAAUCCUUAAUGCAGAUCUUUCCCCUGCUUGUUUGUGUAGCUGAAUUUCAGGCAACCUUCCAUUAUUUUCUAACCCUAACUCCUCUGUCAACCCAUACUAUUCCUCUUGUUUCUUUAGGCCUCCACCAUGCUCUUUUCUCUGAUUCCACAAGCUUGAUGACUCUGCUAUCCCAAAGAAAAUGUGCUUUUGAGUUUUGUGUCAUAAAGCAUAUAAUUAAGGUUUGUGAUAUCUUCUUCUUCUUUUCCUCUGAAUUUCGAAGAAGUGGAAGUUGAGUUGAUCAGUUGGCUAUGAGGGAUAGAAGUAUAACAGUCGCUGCCGCGGUCGUUACUUAAGAGAAGAUUUGGAGAGAUGUAAUGCGUGCAAAUGGGCGAUGCAAAACCAAAUCUCAAAGUGUUUCUUAUAAAGCUGAUAUAUGGCAUAUGGCCUGCUUGAAUUCAUUUGUUUAUGAAAAUUUUCUUUUUCUGUGUUACAGUGAUGUAUUUUCUUGCCGCAGGUGUUUCCCAUUUGUAGUUUUCUAAAUUUGGGAAGGAAAUUAAGCAGCUGUUGAAAGUGAGCACUACGAACCCGAUAUAUCGUCUACAAGAUCAAUAUAUAACCGGACUUGUCGGUUAUAAUAAGAUCACAACACGACAUUUAAUAGUCUAGUUUAUAACAAUACAAGCGACAUUUCUUUUGUUACAAAAUUGUAAUCAUUUUGUAUCACGAGAGUCAUGGAUUAAAAGCCAAAAAUUUUAUAAACUAAGACCUUAGAAUACUACUUAGCUUGUACCACACAUUAACGAUUUUAAUCAUUUAAAUGCCACAGAAAAUUUUCAUCAUUCUUUUAAUUAAGUCAAGAGAAAAUCUUAAACGAGUGGAGUAUUUGCAUCACAUUAUCUAUAUGUUUGUCAAAUAUAAUUUAAACACUAACAAUUAUUUUUAAAUUGAAGUGCGUAAAAAAUUUACAAAACGUGCUUGACUUUAUUUGGCAGUUCUAUUGGGCUGUGGAAGCAUGUAAGACUUCCUCCUAAAGUCCAAAGGAUAAGAACAAACAAUUUUUUUUUUUUUUUUUUUUCUUUCCUGUAUAGUGAAUAUCUGCCAGUAUUCGGUAAUAUCAAUUAUCAAGUGUAUGUGGUUCUCAGUCGUUAACAGCUGGAGCUGGGCUUGGAAAACAUGCAGGCUUAAAGCUCAAAAUGGGACACUCGGAGUCAGAGAAAAUGUGGGACCUUGUGUUUUCGAGGCGUUUUUUACUGAAGCGUCUCAAUUAUCAAAAAAGUUUUCUUUGCUAUUUUGUCACAUAUUACGGAAGUAGUGAAGUUUUAUAAUACAUCUAUUGUAUUAUAAUUAAUUAAUAUAUGUAUGACAUGCGUAAUUGAGUUUAAUACAACCACCACUUAUAUGAUAGUUUAUAAAAUAAAUGUACAUAUUUUGUGAUAUUGUUUACUGUUGUAUAGUUGACAUGAUAUAACAAAUAUAUCCUAGAACUUCUCAAAUUAGUAGAUGAGAAUUAAGAAACUGCUUUUAAUUAUUUGACUUUUUUUUUAAAAUUAAAAUAUCCCAAAAUAUACUCCACCCUAAUUAAUGAUCGUUGAAUAAUUAACUUCCAAAAGCAAAGUUGUCAAACGGCACAAACCACACUAGCGACAGAGGCAGAAAACAUGUUCGGAAUUAAAUUGGGAUGAAUUUGGGCAAGAUCGAGUUAUGAUAUAGCUGCGAAUGCGGUACCAAUUAAUAAUUUGAAAUGGGUUUGGUAUUAGUUGAUCCUUUACGUCAUUAUUAAUAAGCCGCCAUGUAUGUUAUUAUUUGAGAUGCAAAUUUUAUAACUACAUCAUUACUCAUUUGGGGCGAAUGUCAAGCGAACGAGUCGGAGAAGUACCGCUGAACCUGAACCAUCUCAAUUAAAUGGUUCCCCAAACGUGCAAGUUGAUAUCAAUUGGAAGUGGUCCACAAAUGGAGAGAGCAAAGAAAGCAACUCAGAGAAAUUAGCUGUCUUUGAUUCUUGUUCUAAUCUCUUCUUUUGUUGGAUCAGCAAAGAAAGCAACUCGGACAACCAACUGCUUGCAUGAAUUGACAAUUCAUGGUUAUGAAUGAGGCCAGAUUAUCAAUUUUCUUGAUGGAAAGAAUUCAAUGUCAUUGGAGUUUCACUUUGCUUGCAUACAAACAUGACAAGUUAUGUCUAGUUGCGAUUCAUAGAGUAGUUUGGAGCUAGCGAGUUAUAAAUUUAGAUAUUUUAAGAUUGAUUUGUACUAAACAUAAAAACUCACAAUUUCGUCCACAAGUAAGUAUGAUUAAUUUUAAGUGCUUCUGCAGUUCUCUAAAAAUUGCUUAAAUUUCUUUUCAGUAUAUAUUAUACAGAUACUUGCAGUUGUAGGCAGUAAUAAUAGAGCAAAAUUUGUCACAAAUUUAAAAGAAAUUGAAAGAAAAAAAUUAAUAAUAGAGUAAAAUUUUGUUUGAGAAUUCCUAGUCAUAGUAUUACAAGUAAAAUUUAAUACUAUUACACUAGUUUAUACAAGCAAAGUUCAUUCUAGAGUUUAUGGUCCUAGUAUUAUUUUCUAUUUAUUAGUAUCAAAUUAAACCUCUUUCCAGUUAUUAAACCAUUCAAAUUCUAAAUCUCUUGUACCCAAUUAAAAAAAUCUUAUUAGUUGAAUUAAUGGUUUUAGUUAUGUUACAUGAUCAUGUAACAUACAUGAUUCUUCAUAAACGUUGGAUGAAAAUCCAACAGUUGUGUAAAUAAGAUGAUAUAUAAUCUUAUAUUUCUAUAACUGUUGAAUUUUCAUCCAACGACUGUGAAAGAAUCAUGUAUCUUACAUGAUAACGUAAGAUAACAAUCUCCUUAAUUAUUUAAUAUCCACAAUUUUCUUUUGAGUCGGGCACGAUCCAAUUGUGUUAGUAUUGUAUGACUAGGGAUUGUUGAAUUGAUGCCUGAUUGAUAUUUUUGGCAAAAAAGAGUGGCUGUGAAGAAAAAGAAAGAAAGAUCAAUUUGUUGUUUACACAGGAGAACAUGAAUCCCAUGCCUUCAAAGUCUUGAGCCAACAAACACCAGAAGAGUGAAACGGGACCAAAUUUUAGGUUCCCCAUUGAUAAAUUGUGGGCACUCAAAACUUGCAUGAAAAAGACACUGCUUUACCAUAUAGCAACAAGAAGCGUUCGAUGUGACCUCAUAAAAACCAGCCGUGAACAGAUAAGAAAGGAAAAAAGAAAUGAACAGAUCGAUUUCUGAAAAGUUAAUUCACGUGGCUUUGGACCUACCGCAAGUGGGGCUGGCUUCUACACAGUGUCCUCAUUCCAUUUUAUCUUUAUUACACCAAUCACCAAUCAAUGUUAAGUAUACAUAUGCUACCUCGAUGGGGUCUUCGAGAUUUUGUUAUUAUACAAUAAUUGAAUUAUAUGGAGACAGUACUCUCAAAAUUUAAAGCCUAAAGUUAAAAACAUGGAGUGUUCGCGAUAAACUUUUAUUUGUUUAAGUAUCAUGUUAUUACUGUGCUAAUUAAAAUGACCUUAAUAUAUCAUAAUGUAAUACCAAUAGAUUAUAUGGAGAGAGCGAUGAUUGUUUGGUAGUCCUCUUUUUGAACAUGGCUGGAUGAGAAGGAAGAAAAGAACAAGCAUAAAGAUUUGAAAAU